rnacentral:lncRNA from 1 species
CAAACACAAGUUUUUACUCAUAUUCCAGCAUCUACUAUUUCGACGACUUCGUCAUACUUUUUCCUUUUUAUUACGAGUUCUUAGGAAUUCGUCGACUUAAGCUCGGCGUGUUCUCAAGUUCCGCGUGAAUACCUCUUGGCCGUGGCAUCUGGGCGCAUCGCUGUUGUCGGGACCAAAGUAUUCGAGUUAUCACCUUUGCCGAUAGUAAGGUCAAAUCGGCUGGCACGCCUUAACGUUGAAAUCGGGUAUUAGCCCUUUGUGUUUGCAGAUCAGCUUUUACAUCAACAAGUACAUAUGUAUGUAGCUGUCACGCACGCAUUCUUGCUUGUUCUAUUUUUCACGCGGAUCGGAGGCUUUAAUUUGCUUGUAGCUAUCCCGCUUGCAACUCAGCGCGACAAGGAAUAACUACUUUUGCCAGCAAAGAGUGCAAUUAAGGGCCUGUUUAGAUUGGAGAUGAAAAAUUUUUGAGUGUCAUAUCGGAUAUGUCGGAAGGAUGUCGGGAGAGCUUUUUAGAAACUAAUAAAAAGACAAAUUACAUAGCUCCUCAGAAAACUGCAAGACAAAUCUAUUAAGCAUAAUUAAUCUAUCAUUAGCAAAUGUGGGUUACUGUAGCACUUAAGGCUAAUCAUGGACUAACUAGGCUUAAAAGAUUUGUCUCGUGAUUUUUAACCAAACUGUGUAAUUAGUUUAUUUUUUUAUCUACAGUUAAUGUUCCAUGCACGUGUCUAAAGAUUCGAUGGGAUGGAUGAAAAAUUUUUAGGUGGGGAACUAAACAGGGCCUAAGGCCGUGUUUAGUUUUCCAUCCAAAAACUUUUCAUCCGUCAUAUCGAAUCUUUGGACACAUAACAUUAAAUGUAUACGAAAACAAAAACUAAUUACACAGUUUGGUUAUAAAUCGUGAGACGAAUAGUGGUUUUAACAUGAGUGGCAUAUUGUUUUCAAGAGAAAUGAAAUGCGUGGCCCAAUUUAGGCCAUGUCUAAAUGUUAUCGGAUUCAUUCCAAUCCAAAUAUGUUGAGUUGGAUCGAGGUGAAAUUUAAUUUAAGUUCCACCCUGGUCCACCUUAACACAUGUAAAUUGAUGUGAAUUUAUCUACAUCUAAAUAAAGGCUUAGAAUUCUUUUCUAGCCCGUAGGAAUGCUUUAUAAUUAGUUGCUGAUUGUAAUCGAUCUUUCAAAUUUAAGACGAUCUUAAGUGAAAAUUUUCAAUUUUAAAACAUAAUGACUUAAAAUGAAUACACGAGCAUGGAUGCUAGACCAGGCCUAGGUUUAAUCCCUAUGAGGUGAAUUACAGUUGAAUUACAGUGUCGGAGGUUAAAAUAACUCCCUUAUCUGCCCUUGUUAUCUAAAGGACAGGUUUGUGGCCCCGGUCCACUCACAGAGUAAUUGGCCAUAUAGGCCGAUGGGGUACGAGGUUCUAGGGCGUGAGAUGCAUCUACCUUAAUGCGAAUGCUUGGCGGCCCUGCCUCCUUUUACAUAAAAAGCUUCUUAAUUAUGGAGUUACAAGUCAUGAUAAAAUCUACAGUUUUGAUAUAAAAUUUAUCGCAGCCUUAAAAGGCGGUGUGCCUGGCCCUCCGAGCGGCCGAGCCAAUCACGCAAACGUAAAAGGCAGAUACCUGGCAGCCAGAGUCAGAUGAUUCUUCCGCAGCCAUAAAAGAUGGGGAAAUAGAUUCAGCAGCCGCAAAGGCACUCUCGUAAUGAUUUUUGUCUGCUGUUGUGCACGUAAGUAAGACCAUAAAAGGCAGUCAAGGAAUGAUUUUUGUCUGCCGUUGUGCUUGUAAGACCGUAAUUCCAACGGUGAUGGCGGUAAAACGUGAUUGCUAAUCAUGUUGGGACUGCAUGUACAGAUAAUCUAGUAAUUGUGGUUGUUUUGAAUCUACGUGCUUGUUCAUUUUCUUAUUUACUUUCUGAAUUUUUCUAGUGAUCUAUAUGUUAUCUAAUUUUUUUAAUUGAAUUACUCUUGAUGUUUUUUUAGAAUUACGCACUACAACGCAGAACACACUUACACUCACUCCUAUAAACACACAUACGCAAAACCCUACAUCUAUGAGCACCUUCAAAGAACUAAGCCAACAGAUCACGAGAUUUAUGAAGUCACCAUAGGUGUCCCACUGUCGAUGGAGAUGUCGCCUACCACUGAAAGCAUAGUACCGUUAAAUUCUAUAAUAAAUCCAUAAAAACGCAAGCAGCCUCGUGUCAAGGACUUAUACAAGGAACCCAGCCUCCAGUUUCUAUGCCAUAAUACAAAGAGUAAUACGCUUUGAUAGUAUUAAUAGGAAGAUGAGUAAUAGUAGGAGCAACGGUGAUAGAAGUAUAUGAUGAUUUUGUCCUUAUUGAUUAUGCAUUUUUCUAACUAGAAUAAAAAUAUACUCUCAGAGUUUCAUUUUAUCUAGUGCAAGUUAUAAUAACACGGUCUCGUAGAUUAUGUCUUGACCAUUUAUUUACUUUAUAUUAUACUACUUAUGUUUAUAAACUUAUAAUUAUUAGAUAGUAUAAUUUCUUACAAAUCUAAUCAUAUAAUGUUUGUAUUAUAAUAGUUAAAAAUUAUUAGCUUAAUUACUAGUUAAAGUUUUAAAUGUUUAAAUUUUGAUAUGCGUAUGCGUCCGCUAGAAUAGAACGGAGGUAGUAUUUCUGUGAACGACGCUCAAUAGUAAUUAUUUGACUUUUGCAAACCGUAUUAUUUGACUGAAAUCAGCUAAGCACGUAUUCGAGAAGUAAUUUCAAAAACCGGUUAUACAUAUCACCUAAUACAUACAUACACAUGGUAACGCACACUGGUUCUGAUCGCAGAGAAUAAAAAAAACUCAACAAAUUAGUACCUAUGUAUACACGACGACGCAUCUAGCAUGCGACCGAAAAGUCCUCUCUAAUGGCAGCAUCUUCAACGGGGAUCGUCAUCUCAUUGGGAUACUCAUCGCGGCUGGGUCGUCGAGCCGUCCUAGUCGGCCACCACGACAAAGAGCAAUAGUAGGAGCAGCAGCGAUGGAAGUAUCUGAUGAUUUUGUCCUUGUUGAUUAUGCAAUUUUCUAGCUAAAAUAGAAAUAUAAUUAUGUAAACAACGCUCAUUAGUAAUUGUUUGACUAUUGCAAACCGUAAUGACUGACUGAAAUCACCUAAGCACGUACUCAAUCCAUCCUAAAUUGUAAGUCGUUUGACUUUUUUAAUAUCAAGUUUGACCACUCGUCUUAUUCAAAGUUUUGUACAAAAUAUCACUUUUUUGUUGUGUAUUGGUUUAUUAAUAAAAGUUCUUCAAGAAUGAUUUAAAUUUGACUAUAUUUGUACAAUUUUUUUAAAUAAGACGAGUGGUCAAAUUUGGAGUAAAAAAAGUCAAACGACUUACAAUUUGGGAUGAAGGGAGUAUUCAAGUAGUAAAUUCAAAAACCGGCUAAGCACAUAUCAAAUAAAUACAUACACAUGGUAACACACCGGUUCUGAUCGCUGGGAAUAAGAAAACUCAACAGAUUAGCAACUAUGCACGGAUCCAGCAUCAUUGUACAUGCAUGUAUUAUCAUCUAAUACAUACACAUUGUAAUAAGGAUGGAGACGGUGCUCCAAAUGAAUACUUACGGUUCUUCUCUAAGAUAACUAAAUGAACUAAAUAAAAAAAUGAGGAAAUAAAAUUAUUUCCUCAUUUUUUUUAUUUAGUUCAUUUAGUUAUACUAGAAAAGAACCGCAGAUAUACGUUUGAAGAGCCAUCUUUAUACUGUAGCACAUACGGGUCCUGAUCGCUGAGAAUAGAAAAAAGAACUCAACAAAUUAGCAACUUUGCCUCCACGGCGGAUCUAGCAUGCGGCCGAAAAGUUCUUUUGUGAUGGCAGCUUCCUCAGGAUCCAUAGUCAGCUCAACGGGAAUCCUCACCUUGGCUGGGUCACCGCGCGGUCCUAGUCAGCCACCAGCAUUUCUAUGUCAUAAUAGAAAGAGUAAUACUCUUUGAUAGUAGUAUUAACAGGAAAUUGAGCAAAAGUAGAAGCAGCAACUAUGGAAGUGAGAUGAUUUUGUCCUUAUUGAUUAUGCAUUUUUCUAUUUAAAAUAAAAAAUAUAAUUGUGUAAAUGAUGCUCAUUAGUAAUUAUUUGACUUUUGCAAACCGUAAUGAAUGGAAUGAAAUCACCUAAGAACGUAUUCAAGUAGUGAAUUCAAAAACCGGCUAAGCACAUAUCACCUAAUACUAUACACAAGGUAAGUUGGCAACACACUGGUUCUGAUCGCUGGGAAUAAAAAAAUUCAACAAAUUAGCAACUAUGCAUCCACGACGGACCCUGACCCAGCAUGCGGCCAGAAAGUCCUCUCUAAUAGCAGCUUCGUCAACGGGGAUCCAUUCCACAGUCACGUUAAUGAGAGGAUCAUCCUAAUCUCGCCUGGGUCGCCACGCUGUCCUAGUCGGCCACCACGGCAUUGAGCGUUUCUAUGCCAUAAUAGAAAGAGUAAUACUCUUAAUAGGAGGAUGAGCAAUAGUAGCAGCAGCAGCGAUGGAAGUAUAUCUAAUGAUUUUGUCCUUAUUGAUUAUGCAUUUUUCUAGCUAAAAUGUAUAAAAUAUAAUAAUUCUGUAAACGACGCUCAGUAGUAACUUUGACUUUUGCAAACCGUAAGGACUGGAUUGAAAUUAGCUACGCAAGUAUUCAAAUAGUAAAUUCAAAAUACCGGCUUUGCAUAUGUCACCUAAUACAUACAGACAUGAUACAUGCAUGUACAUGGUAACACAUCUAAUCGCUGAGAAUAAAUAAACUUAACAAAUUAGCAACUAUGCAUCCACGGCGGAUCCAGCGUGCGGCCAAAAAGUCCUCUCAUAUGGCAGCUUCGUGAACAGGGAACCUCACCUCGCUGAGUAGUCAGAUACCACGGUAUUGAGCGGACGUACAGCAAGCUGAAGAAGCUUUUGCCCUCUGAAAUAAUCUUCAAUUACCAUUAUGCCAUGCCUUGUAUUGUGGAACAAGGAAUAUAGUUUAAUUUAAACUAAAAAGGUCUCAAUAUGACACAAUCCAUCAUCAUAAUACUAACACACUAAAACCUGACAGCCGUAAAAUAAUGCAGUACCGACAACCAUACUACUAAUACAAAGUAAAUACAAUAUAAGAAAAAGAGUACAAUAUAAGAAAAAGAGUGUCUAGAUCAUGCAAAUUGCCGAUUCUUCUUAGGGCUUGUUUAGUUCUAAAAAAAUUUUACAAAAUUUUUCAGAUUCUCCGUCACAUCAAAUCUUGCGGCACAAGCAUAGAGCAUUAAAUAUAGACGAAAACAAAAACUAAUUGCACAGUUUACAUGUAAAUUGUGAGAUGAAUCUUUUAAACCUAGUUACUCCAUGAUUGGAUAAUAUUUGUUAAAUAAAAACAAAAAUGCUACAGUGUAAAAUUCCAAAACCUUUUUGGAUCUAGGCCUAUGCUUCUAAUGGAUAAUUUCAACAAAUAAAAUGCAUUUCCAAUCAUCUAUCUUCUCCCUCAUAGCAUCUACCAAUCAAAUAUCUUUGUAUCUUAGUGUCCAUGUAGACAUGGUUUCUGUUGACACCGUUUUUGGGCACGUGUCUACGAUGGCAGGAUAGGGUGGCAGUACGAUGCGGGCUGCUGAUGAGGAUGGUUGCCGAUGAGGGAGAGUUUGAAUGUGAUUAAGUCCACAGGCAGUAAUAUGGUGCCGAUGGCCGGAUAAAAAGGUCUGCCGAUGACUAUGGCAAGGGGAUUGCCGAUGAUGCUAAGGAGGAGUCCAGAAGCUGCCAGUUGUCAUGUGGAGGAGUUUCGGUUUGUCACGAAGGAUAGUUUUAUUAUUUCCUUAAUUAUUUGCAUCGUUUUGUAUACGGAUUCCGUGUAAUUUGGAAUUCGAAUUCUAAUCGUGUCUGGUUGUAGCUCUUUGAGCAGGGUAUAAAAUAAACCCUAGGACCUUGUAAUAAUGGAAUCAAGAAUCAAUCAAUCAAACGCAAGUUUUUACUCAUAUUCCAGCAUCUACUAUUUCGACGACUUCGUCAUACUUUUUCCUUUUUUACGAGUUCUUAGGAAUUCGUCGACUUAAGCUCGGCGUGUUCUCAAGUUCCGCGUGAAUACCUCUUGGCCGUGGCAUCCGGGCGCAUCGCUGUUGUCGGGACCAAAGUAUUCGAGUUAUCACCUUUGCCGAUAGUAAGGUCAAAUCGGCUGGCACGCCUUAACGUUGAAAUCGGGUAUUAGCCCUUUGUGUUUGCAGAUCAACUUUUGCAUCAACACAUCUUUUGGCACGCCCAGUGGGACAAGAUUCAAGAUCAAGAUCAACAUGUCGAUCUCUGACCUCGAUCAAGAGAACGUCAUCCCCGUGACGGAGGCCAACCUCAAGGAUGAGCAGAAGCAAGCUAUUGCCCAAGCUAUGGAAGAGUUCAAGCAGCAAUGCCUGAGGUCUUUCAGCAUAAACAGGAGCGGCGAAGUGGUCCAGAAAGAUGCACUGCCGGCACCACGGCAGGUCACCUUUGACGCCAAUCCUGGCAAGCUUCAGGAUAUGGUUGACAAUGCCAUCAAUCGAGCGUUGAUUAACCAAGCUGGUGUACUGUCUAAUACGGUUUUCAAUGCCGUGGCAAGGACUUUCAAGGAAGGACAAAUCCCGCCAGAUUAUGUGGGGCCCUCCCAUCAUCAGCCAACGGCACCAGAGGUCACGGCUCCAUCGGCUGCCUUGACGAAUGCAAGUGCACAACCUGCCGUCCCUCCAAGUACAUCGGGGACUACUGGUGCACUAUCUAUGCCGAUGGUAACCAACCCACAAAUUUCAGUUGGGCAGCAUAAACUGACAACAGAUAUGUUGGCAUCGGCAAUGUCAGGGUUGACUCUUCCUCCCAACUGGUGGGGUUACGGUAUGCCUCCAGAGUUGACACCGGGAACAUCACAAAUUACUGACAUGAGGGGCAAAACUCCUAUGACCUCGGCACCUCCCAAUGCGCCGGUGAACCAGAGUCCUCGGUAUACCACAACUACUACUGCAAGGCCUCACACUGGAAAUCCUCAAGAUUCAAUGUUCCAGAUGCCCAACGCAUCGGCAGAGUCAAUGCUGAUGCAACAGAGGUCUAUGGCCCAGUCGGGGUAUGUCAAUUCAACGACGGUACCCAAUUACCAGUCAUCGGCAGCACUUAUGCCGAUGAACGCUAAUAAUGGAUGGCUUGGACAGCAAGCCUUUCCACAAUCGCCCCAGCAGGGUUAUCAGACUACGGGGUUCCAGCAAGGGCAGGUCUAUCCCGGGUUCCAAGGUCAGGGGAUUCCCAACCAGCCAAUAAAUUUUGGACAGCAACUCGGAGGACAGCCAAUCGGUGGACAGCAGUUUGGUGGUCCGCAGAUUGGAGGACAGGUGACCAAUACAAUGUUCCAUGCAGGUCACGUCCCGAACAGACACGUGGAGGUUCGCCACCAAGUGCCAGAUCCGCAGCCGCCUCAUCGGCAAGAUGCCGAUGCGUAUUGGGCCGAUAAGAUUGCUGAAGUAAUGAGGGAACAAUUUGGGAUAAAACCCAAAGUCAAUACUUAUUCUUAUCGGACACCGUAUCCUCCAGCGUAUGAUUUGAUCCCGCUUCCACAUCGGUACAAGGUACCGGAUUUUACAAAGUUUUCCGGACAGGACGACACGUCAACCAUGGAGCAUGUCAACAGGUUCAUUAUUCAAUGUGGAGAGGCUGGUAACAGGGACGAAUUGAGGGUUCGUCUAUUUUCAUCAUCAUUGUCUGGAUCGGCCUUUACUUGGUUCAUAUCAUUACCUCCCAACUCAGUAAUUACUUGGGCCGAUCUAGAGAAGCAAUUCCACAAAUACUUCUUCUCGGGGGUUCAUGAGAAGAAGAUCACCGACUUGGUCAAGUUGAGGCAACGUAAUGAUGAGUCGGUUGAGGGAUUUGUGCAGAGGAUACGAGAGGUCAAAAAUAAAUGCUAUAGCCUGGUUCUGGAUGAUCGGCAGCUAGCCGAUUUGGCUUUCCAGGGUUUGUUGCCACAUAUCAGGGAUAAGUAUGCCUCUCAGGAGUUCGAAAGUUUAAGUCAUUUGGUUGAGAGGAUAUCUGAUCAAGACAUCAGGCCUUUCGAGCCUAAGAGGGCAUGGAAUAAGAAAGUGUCAUUUGUUGAUGAAGCAACAAGCUCAGAUUCCGAUGAGGAACCAGUAAUCGGUUUGGCAGAGUGGGUAAAAAACAAGAAGCCGAUGUCUUGUCCUUUUGGGCAGAAGGAACCAGAGAAGUUUGCCUUUGACACCGCCAAGGCCGAUAGGAUAUUUGACUUUCUACUUCAGGAAGGUCAAAUCAAACUGUCACCUAACCAUGUGAUCCCAUCGGCAGAAGAGUUGAAGAGGAUGAGAUACUGCAAGUGGCAUAAUGCAACUUCACAUGACACCAACGAGUGCAAAGUAUUCAGACAGCAGCUGCAAUCGGCUAUAGAGUCAGGGAGAAUCAAGUUUGACAGUUCCAAGGCCCAGAAGCCGAUGAAGAUAGACCAACAUCCUUUCCCAACAAACAUGUUGGAUGCUAAGGGGAAGGCUAAGGUCUUAACGUCGGAGACAGCUGAGAAGAGUGCAUCGGUAGAUCCUCAGCAUCAAGUUACUACUGCCGAUGCAAGAAGUAAGGGCUUGGUCCAGGAAGGAGCUAGCUCAGGAAGACUUCCUCGAUCUGGUAUCGUCAUAACUCAUAGAAGGCCUCGAGAGAGAUGGCAACAACGGGAAGAUCGGUAUCGGCGCCAGCAGGAAGAUUAUCAACGGGAAGAAGAAAGACGCCGACAGGAGUGGAAUCGGCACAGGGAUCAUUGGAAUUGCCCAUUCUUCAUCCAUUGUUGGGAGGAAAAUAUCAAGCUUCCUACUGUCAGAGACUGCCCUGAAUGCAACGGUUAUGAUCGGUACGAUAGGAACGAUCGGCGUUAUCAUGAUGAUGAACGGCGAGCUAAUGGGCCGAUCAGAGGAAGGGUGUCAGUUCAUGACCGGCUGGGGGGCAGAUUCAGUGGGCACAACAGACUUAGUGACCGUGUCCAGUAUUUUCCCAGGAACCAAGAGGAGCUCGAAGGAAUGGCUGAUGCGCGGGUUCCUGAUGAAUUCAUAUUCUGCAGGGAUGCUAACACGCAUCGUAUGGAGUCAAGGGAGAACCGACGCCCGACGGCAAGGCAAAGGCCACUUCCUCCAUGGUGCCCUCGAGGAUUAACCAAGACACAGAAAAGGAGAUUGCAAUGAGAAAGGCAAGAGGAGCUAAACAAGGGAGAGAGCUCUGGAAGUCGGCAGCCGUCAGGCACUAAGAGGGAAGGUCCAUCGGCAGGCGUCAACAUGGUCUUCAUGUUGCCGAUGGAGUUUCUUGCACCAGCCAGUGACGAUGAGUUGGAAUUUUCUGAUCAGAUAGCUCAGUUGGCUCUGGAUCCGAUGACGGCUAUCUUCGAGAAACCUGCCGAUGACGAGAGGCAGCAUCUUAAAGCUUUGUUCCUCAAAGGAAGGGUUGAUGGGCAGCCAAUGACCAAGAUCCUAGUUGAUGGUGGAGCUGCUAUUAAUAUUAUGCCGUAUGCAGUAUAUCGGAAGCUUGGGAAAGGGGAUCAAGAUUUGACCAAGACCGAUAUGAUGCUCAAAGACUUUGAAGGAAACGUGUCUCCAGUCAAGGGGGCGAUAUGUGCAGAGUUGACCAUCGGCAGCAAAACCUUGCCGACAACUUUUUUCGUGAUCAGCGGAAAAGGUGCCUACAAUUUAUUAUUGGGGAGAGAUUGGAUCCAUGCCAAUUGUUGUGUCCCAUCUACAAUGCAUCAGUGCUUGGUUCAGUGGGUAGGUGACAAGAUUGAGAUCGUCCCAGGGGAUUCUUCUUAUGUUAUCGCAUCGGCAGAAGCGGAUACUUAUGAAAGGACUAGGUGCAUUUCAGGAGAAGUUUGGGAGAAAGAUUUUCUCAAAGUUGCCGAUUAUGAGAUUCCACCGAUCCAAGCAGUCGGUUCUGACGACGGUUUUUAAUGGAUAGAUUCGCCGAUGAUGGAAAAUUAGGCCAGGGAUUCACAUCGGCCGAUGAUUUGGUAGAAGUAGAUAUAGGUAGUGGUGAUAAGCCUAGGCCUACUUUUAUUAGUGCUAAAUUAGAUCCUGAGUGUAAGCGGCAAUUGACUAGUUUGUUAAAGGAAUAUAAAGAUUGCUUUGCUUGGGAUUAUACAGAGAUGCCUGGUUUAGACCGAUCAAUUGUUGAACAUCGGUUACCCAUCAAGUCUGGAUUUCGGCCACAUCAGCAACCAGCCCGCCGAUGUAAUCCUAACAUUCUACCUGAUAUUAAGGCCGAAAUCACUAAACUUAUUGAAGCUAAGUUUAUUCGGCAGUGUCGGUAUGCCGAAUGGAUUUCCAAUGUUGUUCCGGUUUACAAGAAGAAUGGGAAGCUUCGGGUGUGCAUUGAUUUCAGGAAUCUCAAUAAAGCUACGCCGAUGGAUGGAUACCCACUGCCUGUCGCCGAUCUACUGGUUGAUGCUGCGGCUGGCCAUCGGGUCAUCAGCUUCAUGGAUGGUAAUGCAGGUUACAAUCAAAUAUUCAUGGCAGAGGAGGAUAUUCCAAAAACCGCAUUCAGGUGUCCUGGUCAUGUUGGACUAUUUGAAUGGAUAGUCAUGACUUUUGGGUUAAAGAAUGCUGGUGCUACUUAUCAAAGGGCUAUGAAUUUUAUAUUUCAUGAGUUCAUCGGCAAGCUCGUAGAGAUUUAUAUUGAUGAUGUGGUGGUUAAGUCUGGAGAUUUCUCAAAGCAUCUCGCCGAUUUACGAAAAGUGUUGGAGUGCACAAGGAAGCAUGGAUUGAAGAUGAAUCCCAACAAGUGUGCAUUUGGCGUAUCGGCAGGGCAGUUUCUUGGUUUCAUGGUACAUCAGAGGGGUAUUGAAAUUAGUCGAAGAUCUAUUGAUGCCAUCAAUAAAAUAGUGGCCCCUACCAAUAAAACCGAGCUCCAAUCCUUGAUCGGCAAGGUAAAUUUUAUCAGAAGAUUUAUAUCGAAUUUAUCUGGGAGGAUUCGUGCUUUCAGUCCUCUUCUUAAAUUGAAAGCCGAUCAAGAGUUUGUUUGGGGAGAAGAACAGCAGUUGGCUCUAGAUGAAAUCAAGAAGUACCUAGUAAAUCCUCCAGUUUUAGUUCCACCUCAACAAGGGAAGCCCUUCAAAUUGUGUUUAUCUACCGAUGGAUCGGUUAUCGGUUCAGCUUUAGUUCAAGAAUUUGAAGGGAAAGAGAGGGUAAUUUAUUAUUUGAGUAGGAGGUUGAUUGAUGCUGAAACCAGGUAUUCGGCCAUUGAGAAACUAUGCUUAUGCUUAUAUUUUUCAUGUAUCAAGCUAAGACAUUACCUGUUAUCGGCCGAAUGCACUGUUGUUUGCAAAGAUGACGUGGUCCGAUACAUGCUAUCUAUGCCGAUUAUGAGUGGUAGGAUCGGUAAAUGGAUUUUAGCGCUGUCGGAGUUCGAUUUGCGUUACGAGUCGGCUAAGGCAGUCAAAGGGCAGAUUAUGGCCGAUUUUGUGACUCAGCAUUGCGGUCUAGUGGAAACCUUGGAAAUUGCACCCUGGACGCUCUUCUUUGAUGGAUCUACCUGUGACCAGGGGGGAGGAAUCGGCAUUGUAUUAGUUUCUCCUAAGGGGAAGAAGUAUGAGUUUUCCUUGCCGAUUGUUGCUACAUCAACAAAUAAUCAGGCUGAGUAUCAAGCUCUGAUCAAGGGAUUGGAGUUGUUAAGAGAAGUUCGUGCUGAUGCUGUUGAAAUAUUCGGGGAUUCUAUGUUGGUUAUAAAUCAAUUGGCCGGGAGCUAUGAAUGCCGAAGUGAAGUUCUCAUAACCUAUUUCGAGAGAAGUAUGCAACUGUUAAAGGAAUUCAAGGACUUCCGAUUGGAGCAUGUUCCCCGAUUGCAUAAUGAAGACGCUAAUCGGUUAGCUCAGCAUGCUUCGGGAUAUCAGCCAAUGAUUAAUGCGACAUCGGCAGUCGGUGCCGGUGAUUGGAGGAAAGAAAUUAUUGAUUAUCUAAAAGAUCCAUCCAAAAAAGUUGAAAGGCGGGUUCGAUUUCAGGCAACCAAGUAUGUGCUCCUUGAAAAUGAAUUGUAUUAUCGAACUAUCGACGGAAUUCUUCUUCGAUGCUUGGGUGAUGAUGAAGCCAGAAGUUUGAUGGGGGAAAUCCAUGAAGGAGUGUGUGGAGCGCAUCAGUCAGCUUUUAAGAUGAAGUGGAUGAUCCGAAGGAAUGGGUAUUUUUGGCCAACCAUACUUGAAGAUUGUUUUAAAUAUUUCAAGGGAUGUCAAGGUUGUCAAAAGUUCGGUAAUAUCCAGAGAGCACCCGCAUCGGCUAUGAAUCCUAUAAUAAAACCUUGGCCGUUCCGGGGAUGGGCCAUCGAUUUGAUCGGCCAGAUUUAUCCACCAUCUAGCAAAGGGCAUAAGUUCAUUCUAGUUGCCACUGACUAUUUCACUAAGUGGGUCGAAGCUAUUCCUUUGAAGAAAGUCACAUCGGCCAAUAUGAUUGAUUUUGUGAAGGAGCAUAUUAUUUACCGAUUUGGGAUUCCCCAGACGAUUACUACCGAUCAGGGCACCAUGUUCACGUCGGGGGAGUUCGAUGAAUUCGCAAUCGGUAUGGGAAUUAAAGUGUUGAAUUCUUCUCCUUACUAUGCUCAAGCCAAUGGGCAGGCCGAAGCGUCUAACAAAGGAAUUAUCAAGCUUAUUAAACGAAAGAUUGAAGAAAAUCCUAGGCGGUGGCAUACAUUGUUAAAUGAAGCACUAUGGUCUUAUCGGAUGGCUUGUCAUGGAUCAACCAAGGUGUCACCCUAUCAAUUGGUGUAUGGACAUGAUGCAGUGUUGCCUUGGGAGAUUAAGGCUGGAUCUAGGCGAUUAUCUUUUCAAGAUCAAUUGGCUGCCGAUGAUUAUGCCACUUUGAUGACCGAUGAGUUAGAUGAUUUAGCAGGGCAUCGGUUAAAGGCUUUAAUGAGUAUAGAAGAAAAUAAGAAGAGAGUUGCUAGAUGGUAUGAUAAGAAAGUAAAGGCUAAGGAGUUUGCCGAUGGGGAUUUGGUAUGGAAGUUGAUUUUGCCAGUCGGGACUAAAAGUUCGAAGUUUGGGAAGUGGUCUCCUAAUUAGGAAGGUCCUUAUCGGAUAAGACACUCGGCUCCUGGUAAUGCCUAUAUUCUAGAAACUCUCGAAGGAGUUGAAUUUCCCAGAGCAUUAAAUGGCAAAUAUUUAAAGAAGUACUACCCCAGCAUAUGGGUCGAUGCAUAAAAGUUUAAGUGCCGAUAACACUCCUAUCGGCUGGAUUUAAAUGUUUGGGGGCAGACUUGAUGUUUCAAAAGAUGCCGAUAACAGUCUUAUCGGCUAGACUAAAAGCUAAAAGCGGGAAAACAAAGGUGUGUUGCCGAUGAAAGCUUCAGAUGUUCAGCAGCGCUUGGAUUGCCGAUAUGGCGCGCAGCCGGAUCUGAUUGGCUGUCUCUAUCUCUUUGAUAUCAUCAUCGGCAGAACCUUCUAUCGGCUUCAGCUUCCUCUUCAACUGCAGCGCUUUGCGACCGUGGACGUUUCGUUCUUGCUCAAGGUGCUUGAUGGUCUCCGGCAGUUGACUCUCUUCUUGCUGGGCUUGGGACAGAGCAUCCUCUACUUGCUUGAGUUCGGCCAGUAGAGCUUCUCUUUUUGCUGAUAGAUCAGAUACUUUCUGCUUCAGCGCGUCACCUGAGGACUUUAAGGUGCCGAUGUUCUUAUGUUUCUCAUCGGCUAAGAGUUUUUCUUUCAUCAUCUCCUCAGAAAGCUGGAUUUGAGCGGCUCUAUCGGCAAGGCGUCGAGUGGCUCUCUGGUACUGUAGCUGGCGGCUUUCUAGGUGUGCAGCAUGGAAGAGGGUUUCUUUAGCAUCGGCAGGAAUUUGGCCUCUAAGGGUUUUGAACAGGGCCUUGGCUGGGUCAGAAUCGUUGACCAGUUGAGCUGUGUCUUGAUGAAGUAUGGCCGAUAGCUCCUCCAGCUUAGCCCUGGUUUCUGCCGAUACAGUCUCAAUUGCCCGAGAGGAGCUUGCUUCCUCACCUUCUUCUUCGAAGAUAUCAAUGGCGAAGGAGAAUAAACUAUCGGGAGAAUCUUGUUCCUGAAAAUGAGAAUGAAAUAAGUCAUUUUUAUGGUCAAAGCUUCGGCAGACGACGCUGGUGGAAAAAUUGGAUGACUUACUUGUUUCAAGGCAAUUUCUUGCCUUUGACUCAAAGAUACCGAUGGAGCUACAGGUCGAUCGGCAAAUGUUGCCGAUGGAACGAUAUCGCCUGAAAGAAGACAGGAAGGGUUAUGAGACUAAAUGAGAAUAAGUUUAUCGGCGGAAGUAUUGUUGAGAUAUGUUACCCAGAGGAGGAACAACAGUUGUCUGAAUCGGGGAAACCGCCGAUGAUAUAACUGGACCUGCCGGGCCAGUUGUUUGUUCACCCACGUCAGCUGAUGUACCUUCUGUUUGAAGUUCUUCCUGCUGGGGUUCUUCCAUCUGUGGUGCUUCCUGCAUUGGUUGGGGAGAUGGUGCUUGCUGUGUCUGGACUUCUGGAGAAGAGGGGGAAGAUUCCACCAGGAUUGGAGACACCGGAGGAGGAGGGGGAGUUGCCACUUUCUGGCGCUUUGUUCCAGCCUUAGCACCUUGGGUGCCCUUCCUCUUUGGCUGGCUAGACUGGGGGGCAUCGGUACCUUGGCGUUUGGCUUUUGCCGAUGCACCAGUUUGCUGCAACAACAAAAAGGAGUUUAUGAGCAUAGAUAGCCGAUACAAAGAUAGUCAGCAUAAAUGAAAAGGGUUUGACAAAUUGCCUUGAAAGCUUACGCCAGAGUGGAAGCAGUUACCGUUGGCGAUGUCUGAGUUUUCCUGGUGGUAACUUUCUUGAGGCGCACACCCCGAUGCACGAUGGAAGCCAGAGUGGGAGCAUUGUGGCCGAUUGAGGAGAUCGGGCCUGAGGGGAACAAGUCGAUCGGCUUGCCACUCCUGCUAACCGAUGGGGGGGUGUUGUCAACCUGCAAAAGGAAUACAGGGGUAAGUUACCGAUGGAAAUAGUAUUGGAAAAUGAGACAUCGGUUUAAAAUACUUACAGUGUCAUCAGGGACUUCGUAUUCAGGGUCGAUCAUGCCGCGGUAUGAGAGGGCCGAUCUGCAGAAGAGAUUUUCUUUCCAUUCUGCCCACCAUAGCUUGUAUGCCUGAGUGAUAAAGGCAGCUGGAACCCAUUCUGACAGAUCUACAUCUGUAUCGGCAUUUGGUGGUAGCUGGGCUACUCGAGUCCACUCGAGAAGGUUGGUGAUGGGUUCUCUGGGCUUUAUCACAUCGGCAUAAGGAAGUGCAAUCGGCAACUGGCCGAAAGCUAGCUGGCGAGCUAAUGCCGAUGGAUUGUAAAAUUCAUAGGUUUGGGGAGAGGUUUUUGUGCUACCGAAGAAAUUCACUGGUAUGGCUCUGGGAGUCACAAUUGCCAUCAUCACCUCAUUAUCCCUGUCAAGAGCUUCAUCAAAUGGAUUGAAGGUUAGAGGGAGCAUGCUGUCUGGGUCAUCAUAGGCCAACCAUGGUCGUUCAUCUCUGGCCAAUCCCUCAUACAGAGUCUCGAAGAAUCGGCCGAUCUGAUCCGGAUUGUUCCCUGAACCGGGUAAGACUAUAACGGCUUCGCCAAAGUUCAAGGGGGCACGCGUUGCCGAUUCCUCUUCACCCAACACAUGAUUUUCGGCUAUAUCUCUUGGGAAGUGCUGUGAGAACAAGUUGAAAUCAAGGCGCUUAUGCAGGUGCAGAUUGAGCCACAUAUUAAUAAACCACCAGGGGCCUCCCAAGUUGCCGAUGGAUUGGCCAAGCAGGAGUUUCUGGGCUACCUGAUGAAGAAGGUGGUAAACAGCGCUGAGCAAAUAUCGGCCGAGAGGAAAUUGGCCACCGCUAGCCAGUCUUUCUGCUGCCGAUAGAUAGACAGAAGUCGGUCCUGCCGAUCGGCCACAGAAUACAAACUUGUCCAGCCACAUGUUCAGAAAGGUGGUUUGCUCCUUUAGGGUGACAGGCCCUCUCCCGUGGUACUUCUGGAUGUACCCUGACCAACCGCCAAUAGCGCGAGUCUCCACUUUGGCACUGGGGGCAGUAUCAAAAAAGUGGGUGCUAUCGGCAGAAGAUAUAUCUAGCCCAGUGAGCAUGGCUACAUCGGCAAGGGUAGGAGAAGCAGGGCCGUGGCCAAAAACAAAAGCAUCGAGAGUGUCUGACCAAAAGUAGGAUGCAGCUAUCAGCAGUGACUCGUUCCUGUGCAUAUCGGCAAUGGAUAGCCUAAUGCAUUGAGCUAGCUUCCUCUCACCCCACUGGACUUCAUAAGAAUUGCUGACCCUCAAGAACCAAUCUUUCCACCCUACAGUAGGGCUGGGCCAAGAGCGAAAGGUGUCUUUCCACAGAUCUAAAGAAAAGUUUUAGGCUCUAAAGGGAAUCCUGUUGGUUUCUGCAUUGAUAAGGUCGGUUGGAUCUGGAUUCCCUAGAGGGCCGAGGCACUGAAGGUGUGGUUGAUCGGUAGGGAUGACAAUUUUGUUGGACAACUCCUAGUGUUUUGGGGAAUAAAAAUACAAAGAAAAAGGAAAAGGAAGAUAUUCAGUAAGAUGAAUCGCAGAUGAACAGGAAUGCGAGAAAAGGUACAGGAGAUGAGAUGGAAGUCUGACCUCAGGGACGACGAAGCCAAUGGCCAUCUUGUCGUGAAGAGGACGUUGGAGGGCACCGGAGUUGAUGGAGAGGAGUGCUUGUCGGAGAUCUUGAGGGUUGUAAAUGGCGCCGCCGCUGGAAAAGCAAAGGUGGAUAGUAGAAUGGUGUAAUGGGGGAGGAGUACCCAAGAAGGAACUAUUUAUAAGACAAGAUGGGCAAGGGCAAAUCCGAUUUAUCUCUUUGCCGCAUCCGAGAAACCCGAGGGUACUCAGGUGGAUAUGGUAACUGUUCGCACGGUAAUCCAGGGAUUGUGCAGGUGAUUUGACGGGAAGCGGUCAUUAUCUGAAGAUAUUUUACUGUGCGAGAUCUCCUGGUCGGUCCAUCGGUGAUAUUCUAUAACGGUCAUCUUGCCGAUGGGCGGAUAGAGGGGAGGUAACCGUUUUUGCGAAUAUCCUGGUCAGAGCAUCGGCAGAUCUUUGUAACGGUAUUGUUGCCGAUGUACGACCAAGAAAGAUGCCCGUUUAGGAAGUUGGGGAUUUCGAGGAAUCUGCGGAGGAUUAGGAUCAGAGUUGUCCAGAUUGAGGUUGUCGGUUCCCAGAUUAGGAGCAUUAAUUGCGGAGAAGGCAUCAUUACUGCAGAGAAUUUCGGAGCAUUAAUAGUUUUAUACUCCGAAACUGGGGGGCAUGUGUUGACACCGUUUUUGGGCACGUGUCUAGGAUGGCAGGAUAGGGUGGCAGUACGAUGCGGGCUGCUGAUGAGGAUGGUUGCCGAUGAGGGAGAGUUUGAAUGUGAUUAAGUCCACAGGCAGUAAUAUGGUGCCGAUGGCCGGAUAAAAAGGUCUGCCGAUGACUAUGGCAAGGGGAUUGCCGAUGAUGCUAAGGAGGAGUCCAGAAGCUGCCAGUUGUCAUGUGGAGGAGUUUCGGUUUGUCACGAAGGAUAGUUUUAUUAUUUCCUUAAUUAUUUGCAUCGUUUUGUAUACGGAUUCCGUGUAAUUUGGAAUUCGAAUUCUAAUCGUGUCUGGUUGUAGCUCUUUGAGCAGGGUAUAAAAUAAACCCUAGGACCUUGUAAUAAUGGAAUCAAGAAUCAAUCAAUCAAACGCAAGUUUUUACUCAUAUUCCAGCAUCUACUAUUUCGACGACUUCGUCAUACUUUUUCCUUUUUUACGAGUUCUUAGGAAUUCGUCGACUUAAGCUCGGCGUGUUCUCAAGUUCCGCGUGAAUACCUCUUGGCCGUGGCAUCCGGGCGCAUCGCUGUUGUCGGGACCAAAGUAUUCGAGUUAUCACCUUUGCCGAUAGUAAGGUCAAAUCGGCUGGCACGCCUUAACGUUGAAAUCGGGUAUUAGCCCUUUGUGUUUGCAGAUCAACUUUUGCAUCAACAGUUUCCUACAUAAGAAACCAUCUGCUUCUCGUUCUUCAACAACAACAGUGACACAUUAGCAUUUUGCUUAGCUAGCACACUAAUUAAUAGCUAUAGAAACCAUCUAGUUUUCUGACUAGGAUUGCCCUGAGUGGGGGAUAGGGUUUCACAUACUACUGCCGACAUUAUUUCACUAAUGACACUUUGACUAUCCGUUGGACAAUGUGGUGCGACUAGUGGUGAAAAUUGUUUUCACCUCCAGGUCGAUAUAUGAUCCGACAACAGCUAUAGUAGCGGUUAUCAUAGCUGGAUAUCAAAUGCAGACUCAACAGUGAAAACAGUUUUCGCCGCUGGUUUUUCGCCCACUACACCACACACUUACAAAUUGCCCAUGGUAAGAAGGUUCACCACCAUUUUUUAUGGUAGAUGGGGGUAGUAGCCAUUUGAGUUAGCAGUGAAAAAUGCUAUCAUUGUCGGUUCGAAAGAUAAUCCGAUGGUGAACUGCUGGGUCAAAGAGAAAGUAAGCUUCACCUACUAUGAAUCGGCAGUGAAUAUGGUUUUUACCGCCGGUUCAUCAUAUGAUCUGGCAGUAAAAAUCGGUAGCGACCAAAACCCCUUUUCUCUCCUAUUCUUCAUCACUCUAAAUGUUUACCCAUGACUCUCACCCUUUCGUUCACUAUUCUCGUGUCUAUUGUUCGGCAUGUUCCUUAUGGAAGCUCUCAAUUCUCAAAGGGUGCACACCACUUGUUCUAAGGUUGGAAACUAACAACCCUUUUAUAUUUCAAGCUUGUUCCUUUGUUUUACUCUCUGGUGGGGCAACUCCAGUGCCCACCAUAGAGCUCUAUGAGCACAUCUCUUGAACCGUUUUCAAAUGGCUAAGUCCCAAAUGGUGUCCAUCAAGACCCCCAACACCUUUAACAAUGAGGAAGCAUUUUCAAAACUUUUUGUGAAGGUUUUCUCUUGCUUCCUUUCCAUGCCACUCAAUACAAAUGAACUCUCGAGUUAGAUCUCAACUAGUGGCACUAGAUAAGCGAUUAGCCAAAAAAACCUUAGGUCAGGUACUUCUCUAAACCAAGCCAAGUACUUCUCUACUCAACCUUAGGUCAGGGAAAUGAAAUGCCCUAUAAGCGUGUACCUUUUUCUUGCGCAUUUUCAUUUCAUCUCCAUAUUGGUGAUGCCUGCGAGCAUCCACUCUCCAACUCAUCGAAUUCCAAAUGUUGAACAAGUGUGUGUGGACCAACUCAUAUCUUUAUCACUUGACUAUUGUUCAUGCAAUGAAGCUCGUCCAUAUUUUUCUUUCAUCGAGCCACUUGACAUCUACAUUGUCAACGUAUUUGGCUCCUCACCUUCACUCCAUUAAGCAACUUGAUAUCUUCACAUAUCUUCACUUGGCUUGAUCUUUAUGAAUGAUUUGAUCCUCUCCAUAGCUUCACAUGGACUUCAUAGUCCAUUGACCUUAGCCAUGCAUGCUUGCUCUUCUCCAUUGUCUUUGGUGAGAGGACAUAAUUGAGAGACAUGUCUCUACUAUGAGUGCCAUCAAAGAUGCCCCAUAAUUCACCAGUGUCUCUGACUAAAGGAGUUCCCAUCACAUACAAGAUUAAAUAACCAACGUCUCUGAUGUGCAUCCCUUCGCAAACCCAUCUUAGUCAAAUUGCAUCUCUAAUGAAAUGGGACACCACCAAAGAUACGACUAAAUAGUUUGUGUCUCUGAUGUAAUUUUGAACAACCUCAUUAGACGACACAUAAGAUUCACUACGCGUCUUUGAUUAUUUGAGCCCCAUGUAUGCAUCUUCUGAAUUGCAUCUCUGAAGUGGUAGCCAUGGAGCUCCGUUAUUGUUGUGUCAUGUUGAUCUUGUUUCGGCACACGUGCGAUCUAGUGUUGUUGACACCUGCCCCAUCAUUGCCGCUAUCUUGCUCGAUCCAUCUCUUUGGUUUCCCCCCACCUAUCCAUGAGUUACUCUCCUCUGCUUGCACCACACGCUCCGACCAUGCAUAGUUGUUGGAACAUGUGGCACCGAGCCACCGUCACCAAUUGUGCCAUGGCGACAUAGCAUUAGAAGGCAAGAGCUUCUGUGCGGUUGCGGUCGCAUCUCCAUAGCUUUUGCCAUAUCUAGAUUCAUUGUUUGCAUCAGUGCAUGCACUAAGGCAUGGCUCUCCUUAGGUGAGAGUUGCAUGUUGUGCAAGUUCACUCCGCUUGCAUGCCCAAGUUCUACCCGAUCCAAGUUGCUUCAUCUAAGAAAAAAUUGGCAAGGUGUUUGGUUUGAAAAAUAAUUUAGUCUAUCAUCUUCUCACUCUUUAUUUUUUAUUUAGUUUGUGAAAUGAAAUGAGUUGAUUCAUCAACACGUUAUUUCUCUCAAGUGAAUAUGUAAUUAAUAAUACUAUUAUGCAUGAGAAAUGGAAUCAUUUCACCAAAUUUGAGUAAUAAUAAACUUAUGAUGUACCACCUCAUCAUCUAGUAGUACAAGAGUGAUUCCUCAAAUCGAACAUCCUAUAAAUACAGCACUAAGUGCCUAUGGGAAUCUUGAUAGUCAAAAAAUUGACUAAGUUUAUAGAAAAUAUUAGCAACAUUUAAUUCUUCGAGUAAGUUUACUUUGAAAAUAGAUACAAUCUAUCUAAUGAUAAUAAUUAUGUAUUAUUAAUAUUAAUAUUUUAUUUUAUGCUCCCUCCAUCCCAUAUUAUAAGACAUUUGAUUUUUUUUAUCUUAAGUUUGACCACUCGUCUUAUUCAAAAUAUUUGUGUAAAUAGAGUCAAAUUUAAGUCAUUUUUGUAGAACUUUUAUUAAUAAAGCAAGCCACGAUAAAAAAAAAAGUAAAAUUUUGCACAAAUUUUUUAAUAAAACUUGAUGUCAAAAAAGUCAAACAUCUUAUAAUUUGGGAUGGAUUGAGUAUUUAUCAAAGUUAAGUAGUUUGCCUUUUCAGGAAGUGAGAACAACAAAUAAAAAGGGACACAGGAAGUAGAUCGGAUGGUCCAAUAUGUUACUAUGAUGCAACUUAUUGAUUGUGGAUCAUGCAGAUCACUAGUAGUGGCGCGUUGAUUUGGUUUAGAAUCAUGCACAUUGAGGGCCGGCUGGGCCUAUAUCGUCCUCCAUAUGCUCCACGCGAGAGGAAUCAUAUCUUUGAUAUUAGUUUAUUAAUAGUGAUACAUUUACAAAUUAACAUCACAUAUAUAGCUAUAGCUGUCAGUACGUUAUGCUAGCUCUAGAGUUCUUGUGGUGGCUUGGUUUCCAGUGGCACGACAAAGUUGGUGUAAUUAAGAACAAUGGCGUGCAGAUGAGUGGUAGAGCGAGAUAAUAAAUAGUACAUUUCUAAAACGGAGGGAUGAGUAGUUAAAUGCUUAAAAAUGCUUAUAUUAAUUACUACAAGAUCAUCGACCUGAUUUGCUAGCUACUAAUAGAGAUUCGAUCACUAAAUUAGUUAUUAUUGACCAUAAUAUGUAGCUGUCAGCAUGCUUGGGCCUUGUUUAGUUCCCAAAAUAUUUUACAAAAUUUUUCACAUUCCUCAUCACAUAGAAUAUUGCGUAAAAUAUAACUAAUUGCACACCUGUAAUUUGCGAGAUGAAUCUUUUUCAGCCUAAUUAACCCAUGAUUGGACAAUAUUUAUCAAAUACAAACGAAAACUGCUACUGUUUUUAUUUUGUAAAUUUUUUUGAAGUAAACAAGGCCUUGCUCUCGAUCUGUUUUUUCAUGUGGAAUAAUGGUCCUAACAUGAGUGGAAGAAAAGCAAAACGCAUGGCCCAAUAUUUAGAAACUUUUUUUUGAGAGAAAUGUAGCAAUGCUUAAAAACUGAUAGCUGUUGAUCCCAAUCGGUCAUGCGAAGUGUAGAUCCUUAUCCUUAAUCAUAAAUGUUACUAGUAGAUCGCUUGUUGAUGCAAAUUGAAGGCUGGCCAGGCAUCGACAAGAUCGAAGACAGAUCGCUCGCGUCUGUUCCUCUCCUCAACGUUUAUUGGAUCUGAGUCAGUCCCCGUAAAAGUUUUGAGCAUUAAGUUUUGACCAAGCAGCAUCUAUGAUGAUUUUAGUAUUAUCAUAGAUUAACCUGAAUGACGUUUUGUUAGAAAUCAUUGCAGAUUAAUAAAAUCGAUGACGAUCUUAAAUCAUCACAAUAAAGCCUAAGGCCUAGUUAACUCAGCUCAAGUCUAUUCCUGUGAUGGAAAAAAAGGGUCUUGGAUGAAUUGCCUCGUCAUCGUGAAUGUUUACAUGGAUACUUACAUGGAUAACGACAUAGAUACUACCUUAGGCCAUUUAUUAGCAAGUCAAAGUCUAAGAUGGGGCCAAUUUUUAGCCCAAUUUUAGCUAUUUUGGCAGCCCACUUUGAGCCAUUUUGAAGCCCAAAUUUGUCAUCAAUUUUAGCACACUUUUCAGCUCACACUACAGCACACAUGACCCAUAUACAUCACCCAUUUUCACACAUACAACCCAUAUACACAACACAUAUACAUAGCCUAUAAAGCUAAUAAUUGUAGUGGCACAUCAAAUAAAUAAUAUUAUACUUCCAUCCAACAUCAUAUCACAUGAAUUUUAAUCUAACAUCAAAAUACAUAAGUUUUCAUUCAACAUCCCAUCAACUUUGCAGUUUAUAACAAAUAGAGAUUCUAGAAAUUACAUUUCAGCAACUUAAUGCAUAUAGUUGUAGUGGCAAAAUGCAUGUAUGCAGCAGCAGCAGCAAUGACUUUGUUCGGCUAGCUAAAAAAAAGUUGUUGGUGGUAUUGAUGUUGAUUUAUUGUGAGAGAAAAAUAUUAUUCUAUUGUUGAAAAUAGUGCUGACAACAGCGACAAAAUGCAAGCAGCAGCGGCGGCAAAAGAUAUACAUGUAUAGCUUAACUUGGUCGAAAUUGACUCGACAUAAGUUAAAAACAAUAAAAUGCAUGAAGUUAGUAGCAAAAGAUAUAGCACCAUGCAUGUCUUAACUUGGUCGAACUUAACUGAGCAAAAGAUCAAGUUUUGCUUUCAUCUCGGAUUAAGUCCUCUUUAUCUUCUCUCGGUCCAUAAUCCUUGCCUGAUUAGAUUCUUGCACUUUCUUUGAUAAAUCAGUCACUUGUACACGAAACUCAGCAUUUGCCCUUGAAAGGAUCAAGAUACCCAAGAGGGGGGUGAAUUGGGCUUCUCUAAAAAUUUAAGCAACCCAUAAGCUCCAAUUCAACCCUUGUGCCUAAGUGUGUUCUAGAGAGCUACCAGAUAAAAGUUUUGCAACCUAAUUCCAAUCCUAUUCUAGCAUGGCAAUUCUAGGAAUGUAAAGUACUCAAAGUAAAUGCUAGAAUGUAAAGGAUGAGAGCAAGAAGGACGCGGCGAUGUUUUGUCGAGGUAUCGAAGAGUCGCCACUCUCCACUAGUCCUUGUUGGAGCACCCGCGCAACGGCCUUGCUCCCCCUUGGUCCGCGCAAGGACCAAGUGCUCUCUACGGACUGAUUCUCCGAUACUCCGUCGCGGUGAAUCACCCACAACCGUUCACAAGCUUGACACGAGCCACCCACAAGAACUCCGGGCAGUCUUCGUGCCUCCAAUCACCACCAAACCGUCUAGGUGAUGGCGAUCACCAAGAGUAACAAGCAAAGAACUCUCACUUGACCCAAACAAGGCACUAGAGAGUGGUGGAUGCACACUUGAACUCUUGGAACUCACUAGAGAAGGAUUCACUCAAGAAAUCACUCAAUUCUCAAUUCUCUCUAGGCUCUUGCUUCUCUCUCGCACCAUAAGAUGAUUCUUAGCUGAUUAAAUGGGCAAGAGAGCUCUCAUGGAUGAGGUGAAGAAGUAUAAAUACUUCCCAUCAAGUCCAAGGGUCGGCCACUCGAAUUCCACAGAAAACGAGUGCACCGGACGCACUCCGCAGACGGUCCAGUGCUACAUUAACGACUAGUUGUACUUGCAAACCUACCUUACACCGGACGCACCAAACGAUCGUCCGGUGUCUCACUUAGGUCUCGUCCAGUGAGAAACAGGAAUGCAACCCUCUCUGGGUAAGGGACCGGACACACCCCGUAGGGUCCGGUGCCUAACCCUAGGCACUCGGCGUGCUGGCUCAAAACCAACAUACACCAGACGUGCCAACAGUGACACUGUGGCGUCCGGUGCCAGCGUCCAGUGCUUGUUCUCUACCUAAACUUUCGUCGAAUCGUGAACUUUCCAAAACGAAGUUUGGUUCUCUCGAUCUAAGGACUUUCUCAGAGCUGCCUCGUGCUAGGUUUACCAAGUGUGCACCACACCUAAAUCUAAAGUCUUGUCUAGGUCAAGCUACCCGUUCAAUGGCCCCCUUAAUAGUACGGUCAAAGGAAAAACAAAGUCCUAAACUAGUCUAAGUGCCCUUCAACUUCAUAUGGCACUUAGACCUAGUCUAGUCUUGACGAUGUCCAACAAUCCUUUGAAAACCGAAAUGAUUUCCACCAUUAAGUCGACAUGAACGUCCUAGCUAGUUCAUCGAUCACCAUUACCAUGACCUAAUUCAAAUGAUUUUGCCUCUACAAAACACACGUUAGUUAUAGUAAUCAACAUUAUCAUUAAUCAUCGAAACUCAUUAAGGGUCUAGAUACUUUCAGCCCUUUUCUCUACUUCCAACCGUGCCUUAGUGUUUUCACUGGAUUAAGAGAGGGUAUUCUGGAACCCCACACUGCAACAUACAGACCAACUCAAGUGUUGAGCCAUGCCGUGGGCGGACCUGGCCAUCGGGCUGCAGACGGUCAACCGUCAACGCAUGUGUAUGGGCGCAUGGUGAAGUGGAUCCACAGCAUACAUUGGACCUCCAUCGACCAGCGUGACAGACGAGCGGCACUAAUAAACUCAUUGUGGUCGGCUAACUGAAAAAACAGCUAAUGCUAAUUCUAAUUUAUUUUGAAAGAAAACACUAUUAUUUUGCUGUGAGGAUAAAGCCCCCAUGCGAUGGGGACACUCGCUGCUGCACGCAUCGGCACCAGCUUGGUGUGCCCAUAAGGCUAAAUAACAAGGCAGCUCUCAUUCUGGCUUAUUAGGAUUAAGAGCCAGCUCGGCUCGGCUCAUUAUCUUAACGAGUCAAAAAGCUAACUCGACUCAACUUAUUACAAGCUUAAGCUGGCUCAUUAAGCCGGCGAGCCAAAUAUAAAAAGUACAUCAAAAUAUUUACAUUUAUCUAAAACUUAAAAAUAGUAAUAAUACAAAAAUAAUAUAUCCAAAAAUCUUCGGUCAAACAGAAUAUUUAUAUGAGCUAACAUAUCAACUAUUUGUAAAAUGUAAGACAUGAAGUAAUACAAAAUUAAUAUAAGUUAUGUCAACUUUUUCUUUAAAAUUAUAGCUCAUUUGACUCGCGAGCGGCUCAUGAGCUAGCUCAAGUUAGCUCGUUAUAGCUUCGAGUUUUUCCUCAGGCUUAGACCGCAGCACUGCCACGAUGUACAGCGGGCUGCUGGUGCUCAGGAUGCUGAGGCCGCCGGAGCAAAUGGAGCGCCUGGGCGAUGGAGCUCCUCGGAGUGUGCGGACGAUCCAAGGAGUGUGAGGCACUGAGGCUACUGUUGACUGAGAAGGCAGCUGAUUGAUCAAUGCACGAUACUGUUGACCGAGCAGACGCCUGACCUGAUCCAGUGUCCAUACGAUACAAUGCAAUUGAGGAAGCCUCCGUAGAAGGCAAUAGCAAAUAGACUUAACGCAAUGGCUACUAUAUGUGGACAUCAACAGCCAAACGCAUGCUAUUCAGCGUGCCUAUUUGUUGGACAAAUUUUUUUUUAGUCACGGGUGCUGCUUCCUCUCCCAUUUCCCUUCUCUCCUGCCUGUGCCGGCAGCAGUGCCGCCAUCCCGCUCCCUCCGCUCCACAACCUGCCUCGAGGAUGGCUUGCUGCUGCCGCCGCCUCGUGGCCCAUGCGGCCUCACGCCAUCCAGUUCAGGAUCUCCAUUGCUGCUGGCAUCCUCGGCCCAGGCGUUGUCCUCGUCGGCAGAGCGCUCGCGAGGCUGCAGAAUCGUCGGAAGGUUGCCCCCUGAGAACGUUCUUGAUCCGGCGAGCAUGACGGUGGGGGCCCCGGCCGGUGCGGGCGCCUGAGCAGAGACCCCCUCUUGGCCUCGGCUGCUCGACCUCAAGCUCCCCGCCUCCUGCUGUGCUCUGCCGCCAUCCCUCUCGCGGUACCUCUCCCUGGAGCGGCUGCAGAAGGAGCAACCCACGGAGGUGAUUAUAAUGUCGCAAAUGGCUAGGUUUAUCACACCAAUGGUAAACGCAGUAUCUGAAUAGAGGAGACCAAAGUAAUACGGUCUAACCAUACUACACAGACUACACCUGUUGGGAUUGGCAGAGAACUCACGCCUUGAUGACCGCCCCAACUCGACUUGCUCCAGUUCACGUUGAAGCUCUCUCUAAAGACCAACACAGUAAUAAUGAGAAAACAAAGAUAAAAGGCCAUGCAGACUUGUAUAAUAAAUAACAUAAGGACCUAUCAUACUAUGCAAGCACAGGUUCCAGGAAUCAUAGCUCAAGCAAGAAUUUGCGCAUAAUAAACACAUAUAUAUGGCAUAAACAAGAAAGUGACUCAAACUUUCAACGCUGUUUCACAGUAAAAGCCACUUGAAAGCAAAUCCAAGCUAGCACUAAGUUUCUUUUAAUGAUGGAUGUAUGGAAGAUUUAUUGCAAAACAAUAUAUUUCCCAAAACUAACAGAUUAUGUCAAUUUGAAAAAAUAAAUUGCCUUGUACCUGAGUUUGUUUCUCUUUUUCCAAAUCAAUAUUGAAUUGCAGUUCCCUAGACUUUGCACGCUCAAUAUCCAGUUGACGUUGUCUUUCUACUUCACGUUCCAUCUCGAGAGCUCUUUCCCUACAAAGACAUACAACAAAGAAAUAGGAUAAACACCCUAUUGUUUCUGACAUGUCAAAGAAAAGAGCAGCGCAUCAAAACCUGUCAAGCUCUUGCAUAAGCUCCAUUUCCCUGGAGUUUGUCUCUUCUAAGUACUUUUCACGAGCAUGUCUUAUAAGCAGCUUCUUUUGCCUGCGUGCUGUAAUUUCCUCUUUCAGCCUAGACCUUUCCCUGUCAAAUUAAAACAUACCCCAAAUGAGUAUUAAUAGUUCAAUAUGCUUCUAGAAUCCAAAGUAAAAUGUUGUGAGAAAAAGGAUAUCUUGGAUCGACAUAGCAGUCAAUACGGCAGCAAACUUGUUACGGUAGGAAUUUCAUAAAAAAAUGAACGAUAGUGAAUUUGAAGGACCGUCACAAUAUGUAACUUACAGGGACCUAAUGUUUUCCCGGAUUUGCUGGAGCCGUUUAUUAACCUCACUACCAUCAUUGUGGUCUGUAAACAAAAUUAUAAGACAUGUAAAUACAAAAAUGUAGCAUUGACAGCAAUAGCCCUGAAAGUAAUUGAGCUUACAUGAUGGCAUAGCAAGCACCAUAGUAUCAUCGGUGUGCCCAACAAAGUUAUGAACUGAUUUCUCUUUUUCAAUAAGCUCCAAUUCAAUCUCAGCUUCUUCAAGUUCCUUGGUGACAAAUUUAAUCAAGUGUUAGGACUCUGAAUAAGUUAUCCAAAACAAGAUGCCAGAGAGAAAAGGGCUGUUGCACUUCUCACCUCAUGUUCUUGUGCAGAUCUGGCUGAGAAGAACUCAAAGUAUGCUUCGAUAGAACUCAAAGAGGACAUCACCUAUCGAGAUGAGUAUGGCAAGUUUAGAUAGCCCAGUACUAACUAAAGCAUAAAAUUAGCACCAUAUGAUUUCAGCAACUUUAUUUUUUUUUCCCUUCAACAACGCAAGAGAGCUGCUUUCCAUUUCAUUAAGCAUGCCAGAUAUAAUAUCAAUUUGAACCAAGAUACAAGCAUGCCAGUGUUUCCUUAUGCUAGAAAGAACUUUCUUUGAAGAAAGAUGAACAAAAACUUCCAAACACUAGUAAUUUUGGGGGCGCACUUAGUCUAAGUGCAGUUAUUACAAAGAUUGAAACUGUCAACGAAAUAUAAAAUGAGUCUGAUACGCAGGCACAAUCAACAAUGAGAACAUAAUUCAAGUAAUGAACUGAAAUGGAUAACUGUGCAAUAAAGUCAAAACAGAAGCAACAAUACAGAUGGAGAAGACCAAAAAAAUUAAUCAUUCAGAACACUAUGACCUGAAGGAUUGAUUCACGGAUGCUCUUGAAAUCAGGGCUGACUGGUUGACUAGUACAUCCAGAAAGAACUUCUUUUACAACCUAAUGAAAGAGAUUUAAAGUCAGUACUCAGUAAACAUGUUACGGUACAUAAGCACCGGAAAGGGGGGAGGGGCAGUACAGUUGUAGCAUCUGAUUCACUUUUUAGUUGGCACAGAGCUCGGCAGAGAUCUUUCUCCAUAUAUCCAAGACCUCCUAGUACAUAAUGAGAAAAAAAAUAGCUUGAACAAUCAGAACAUCAUACAGGUCAUACAAUGGAAUUUACAUAUGUUGGCUCAGAAAUCUGAAUAUUCAAUUAUCACAGAUUUACCUGUUGAUGUUUGCAUGUUUUCCAACUUCUGCCAAACACAUUCAGGUAUCAAAGUGAUAUCUUCAGGAGUAGAAUAAAGACAUGCCUUGGAAAACAACAGCAAAGACAUUCGUGUAAAAUAGCCCUCUUCAAUUACACCAGAAAGUUGUCCCAAACCAUUCAGGAUACCAUUACUGGAUGAAAGAUAGGACUGCAGGUGCUUCCUAUCAACAAAAGGCACAUAUUCAGUAAGCAAUGCCAUUGCAUGAUUCCUUAAUAGCAUAGAAGAGUCAUGGAGAGCCAAUGCUGCUACUCUGUCCCAUGUAUGAGUUACCAAAAGGGAUGUUACUGUUGAACCCGAUAUGAGGAAAUUUUGGUCAUAGUUUGGAUAUUUCAAAUCAGCUUCAGUAGAACUUGUUUUGUUAAUAAUCCUCCCAAGCUGCUGUACAGCAACAGAACGUUGCUCUGGCUCAGAAUGAUUCAACAUUGUACAGAAAAGAUCAAUCAAACAUAUCUCACUGUUCUUGAAGCCCUCAAUUCCACCGGAAACUAAUAAUGACAACCACUUAUCUGUCUGCAGCCUCCAGGAUAUCCUAGGUGCAUGGGAACAGAAGUGCUUGACUGCAGAGCAUGUGGCAUUAAGAACAUUACCCCAAGCAAGGAUGUUUGGUAUCCCCAUUAUAUAAUCGAGCAUAGCUGAUGCCACCUGCCAGAACUGUGUUUCCUGAUUUACCAAAAUGAUAUCUCCUAGACCUUCAAGAGCACUUUGCCAAUGCUUUUGUGCAAGCUCACAGGAAAUUUUCACAGCAACAUCUUGCUCACUGCUACUAGAUAUUGUGUCUUCUUGCACUAUGGACUUCAAAAAUUUUGCAAACAACAAACACUUCGCCAUAGACAAAGAGAUCCUAGAGGCCAACUGAUGGUGCCAUUUCCAACUAUCCUCAAUAUAUAAAGUAAGGUGCGAAAUGAACUUCUCCAGGGUGCCACAAAAUUCUAUGAUACUAUUAGGAUGCAGAUUAUAAAGACCCUUAUGACUUCCAUCAUUCUCACAAUAUGCUGUGGAUUUCAUUAGUGCUUGUUCUUCACUAUCUUGUGCAUUCUUCUCUAGUAGCAUAGUGCCAUCAACUCCUAAGGAACCAGCAGGUUCUAUAGACUGGCUUGUUGCAGAAAGGAUGCUGACACCAAGUAGUUCAAUAUUUUGAAUUAGUACAGCUUCACAACCAUCUAGAAGUGUCUGGAAACCUUGAAGAUAGCUGCAUAACAAUGAUGGUGGAUCAAAACUGAUGCAAUCAAUCCAUACUAACAAGGAGCCUAACAUUUCAAUCCUUCUCUCAAAUGAGAAAUCAGGAAACAUUGAUCCCAGAAUGAAGAUAAGCAAGGGUGCCUGAAUCUUAUUUUCAGCUGUAUCCACCGAAUCUUUACCACAACGAACAAUUUCAUACAAUCUUCAACACAAAGCAACUCAAAUUGCUGCCCUCCUUUAUAUGGCCCAGUACUUUUGUAUCAUUAGUUCCCUUCCUUAAGAAGUAGGAGAUGAGUGGCUUCAUUAGACAUAGGACAGACUUGAGGAAGGCCACAUCAGUAUAAGAAGCUCUACAGAGAGACACAAGAAUGUGCACUAUCCUCGGCAUUUCAGGAAUAACGGAUUCCACGUGCUCAGUAACAAUAGACUCAAGUAGGUAGAAGACAACUGCUUUCGCAUUGGCAGCAAUAUUUCCUCUUAUAUAACUAACUCCGUUUGCGACUAUAAGAUGCUCCUUAAUGCGUUCAAGAUAAGGCCACAAGCACAACUCAGAAAACCAACAAAGAACAUCUGGUACUGCACUGUUGGGCAGACAUUUUAACUGUAGCCCAACAGCCUCCAAGAUGCUCUCCCCAAAUGCAAUAAACAAUUUUCCCAUGCUUGGAAAGAAGAAAUGUAGCUCCGGAAGUAAGAUUUUAAACUGUUUGGUCAUGCUUGGUUGGUCUGACAGAGUAGUUUCCUUCUUGAACAAGUGCGUACAAUUAAAUUGUUCACCUUUUGCAGACAUGACUUUCGGAGUUGCAACUCCAUCCAUCAAACAAAGUUCAUCCAUGUAAAUUGAUAACAAAGAUGUAAGCUGUGAGAAAUCAGAAGCAAGAAACAGCUUCUCAUUUAAAUAUUCCUUGGCAUAGCGAGACACUGCCAUCCAUCCGAGAAAUCGAGGGAGUGGGCUAGAAAACAUGGAGAAAUCAGAUAUCUUCUGUAUCCAUGUUGAUGGAGGGACUAAACUUCUAAAACGGAAACCAUCUCUUUUAUUUCUUGCAAGUUCUCUAGUGUUAUCACUGCCUGAUGAAGCCAGAACCAGUUUCUGGAGAAGGGCCCAACGUCUUCUUAGACCAUGUAUUUUUACCCUAUCCAAUUUCUUAUUCCCUGUGUUAAUAAAACUGUAAAGACAUGCAAGCUGGUCAUUGAGGCUUUCAGCAGACUUCAAAAUUAUAUCAAUUACAUUCUCUGGUGGACAAAAUAGAUCAGUUGCUGAGUGCAACAGGAACAACAAGCUCUGGAGGAGAAUUUCACUACACAAGUGUCCUUUCCUUUGGAAUUGCUUCACAAUAAAGUGGCACAGCAUAGCUUGGUUCUUUCUGACCAAAGUUAUAGAAUCAGCAAACUGAAGAGCUUCAGGUGAGAUUUCUACAGAUCGCAUGCCAUCUUCAGCAAUAUUUGGAUAUGGUUCCCCUUCAGGUAUCUUUCCCUGAUAUUCACAGUCAAAUCUGGCAGCUUGUAGGAGUAAAUCUAUGACAGAUCUAUCCCGCUUCUUCUCCAAAUUAUAGAUUGCCUUUUUAUCUAAAUCUUUGAAGUGGAAUUUUUUCAACGCAGAGGAAGCAUUCCCCUGCAUCAACUCCGAAUGAAUACGUUCAAUAUUGUCCAGAGGCUCUAAAUUAGGCUGGAAUUCCAAUAGAAAAAAUGGAUUAACGUAACAUUCUGCUGCUAAUAACAAAGCAUCAAUUCCAGCGUUAUGCCCUUCUAAUGUUGGUUCUUGUUGCAUGCAUAGGUUCAGUGCUAUGCGAUGAAAUUCUUGAGCUCUUAACUCACAGUCCUCGUAGUUUUCCAGCUGUUGAUAAUCAGCCUGUGCAUCAAAAUAAUCAGCUGCAACAAUAUUAUCUAGCAGGAAAGGGUCAGAUGAUAGUUUCUCAUUGCUUCUGCCUUCAGGGAUGUCGUGGUUCAAACUUGUUUUAGUUACUACAUCAUAGCCUUUUCCUUUCAAGGUGUAAAGACUAGUCAACUCAGAUUGGUUUAAUUCUUCAGGAGCAAACAAAAAACUGCACUGUUCAAAAUUUUCAGGCCGAACAGUUGGUUCAGAUGCAUCUCGCCCAUCAAUAUUUUCUGGAUUGCAUGGAUGUGGUGCACCAUUAUCCAAAACAGCCAAAGGCACAUUAUCAAUCUCAUGCGCUGAACUUUUGCAGAGGUCAAUGUCAGGAGGAAGAGGCAUGUGCGGAUCCAAGAUAGAGAGAAUUACACUGCAAACCAAAAGUCAGGCAUGUUACACCAGCAAGCAUGAUAGUGUUAUGCUAGAGAAAUGAUUCAUCUACUAUGCCAUCACAUGCAUGCAUUAAAGUCACAUGGUUCAGAACUUUGCAUCAUGGUCUUGAAAUGUAAACUAAAUUCGUCAUAUUAAGUGCAGUAUAUGUAUGUAGGUUGAUGCCCUCGCCUGGGUGGCCACACCAGACAGGUUGAUCUAACCCCAGGUGAUCGCAAUUGAACACCUGGUUUUGCUACCUGGCUGAGGCGUGUUUCCCAGGGCAAGAACCAAACAAGCCCAUGGUAUGUCUUUGUCCAUGUGGCCCACUUAAUUGGAUUGAUCCAUGAUGCCCAUACUCUCUUUUAUAAACCAGACAGCUAAUGGGCAUACAGUAAUAAAUAUUGUUCCCCCAUCUAAAUUUCUUAUGAUUACAUGGAUACCAAACCUAGCCAGUCUACAUUAUAAAGCAACCCAAUUCAAUGGUGCAGAUCAGAAUGACCUUUAUUAGAAAUUAGAAGCUAGGAUAGCAAAAAGAUGAUUCAGGAAAGAAAACAUCAAUUGCAUGUCAUAAGCCAUAAAGCGUAAAUCACUCAUCAAAUACUAGAGAAGACAGCUGCUAGUAGACACACAAAAGGUUCCCCAAUCCUGAGUAACAAUAACUUCACUCCUUUCAAUCAAGAACCUUUUCGUGCUUCGACUUAAGGACAUCAAGAUGAAACUUACAAUCAUUUUUUACCAAUGAUAACUAAAGAGUAUAGAAAAUUAAUAUUAUGGAAUUAUUUUUGUGGAAAAUCUAAUCCUGCCAUUUUCACCUGACUAGUUAAAACGUUUGAAAGAUACAUGUUUGUGCACAAAUUGGUACCUCAAACUUCCACUUAUAGCUCAGAUUGCCCUCCCAACAGGACAGGUGUGUGGGUGGCUUAUGAAGACAUACCUCUUGUAUGUUCAAGGAAAAAAAAUUGGCUCAAAUUUUGAAAAGGAAAGUUGGUCCUGGAAAAUGGUUUGGUUGAGGCUACUAGCUAAUUUGGUAAGAAAUAUAAGCAACUGCUUAUGUUUCCUGCCAAAUCAACCAGUGACCUAAAUUAAAUCAUGUCUGAAAGUUCAGAGGGCAAUCUGGAUCUUCUGAAAGUAAAUGGGGCCACAAUAAGCUUUGUAUGGAAGUGGCAGACAAAUUUACACAUCAGUUGGAUUGGAUAAGUAGCUCUCUGUACAGUAAGUUCCUUUUUCCCUCUUAGUAAAAUCUCUCUAAAGUGGGGGGCCUCCCCUGCUGUAUUUAAUGUUCAAAAAAAAUUAUACACAAGUCCAUGGCAACAUUACACUGUGAGCAGAGUAGUAGCUAAUGAUGGUUGGCUUGCAUAAUCAUGACAAUUGGGUUAUUGUAGUAUCAAGCUUAUGUCAAAUCUGUAAAUACAUAUUGCUUUACCAACCUUGGGGCAACGGCUCCUCGUCGCCAUUCAAGUUCUAAAGAAGGGAGAACAGCAGCUCUCUUUACUGCUUUAUGGAUAAUAUUUAAGGCAAUAUCGUAUACACUUGACUGCUUCUCCAAAUAUAUAGCAGAGAUACUACCAAAUAUUACUGUGUCUUUCAUGGCACUUGUAGAAGGAUCGAUAAAAGGAUCUAGCAUCUCCAGAAUGAAAAGUAACUUAUGCAUGACUUCCUGAAAGUAGGAAAGUUAAGGAAGCAGUACAGAAGUCACUACAAAGAACCACUUUCAGAAAGGGAAACAUGUACUUUAUAUUCUGUGAGCACAUCAUCCAUAUGCCCAGAAAUUGCCAAUACAACAUACUUCAGUGCUGCACGUGAACGAGCAAGAGAUUGGCCAGCUUCCUAACCAACAUGAUAAAGAACAAAGUUAAUUGGUUCACAAUAUAAAUAUGGAGUGGAAAUCAACUUAAAAGUUACUGAAGUACUAAACAAAUCGUUGAUGUUGAUUUAGGAUAUCACAAAGGAAGGAAUUCCAGUUUUGGUCAAGUAGUACUAUCACAAUAACAUAUAUUUUUCAAAGUUGUGAAUAGCUUAUUGUUUCAUCUCAAAUACAGGUGCAUCCCUUCAACAGCAUUAACACCACAACGGUAAAUAAAUUAGAACAUAACUUCAUUUGGUAUAGUAGCAAAAGUUCAAGACCUAAGUAUGGUAGGAUACAAAUGCACCAGGUUACAGCCAUCAAAAGUUAAUUUCAAUUUUCCAAGCAUUGCUAAGUUACCAGUGUGCACAUACCUGGAUGAUACUUAGGAGAUCCUCUAGAAGUUCAACUGCAAGAUCUACCUGUUUUGAAAGUAUAUGAAGAGUUAAGAGACUAAAGUCACAAAAAGGAAUGCUAACAGAAAAUCCUUAGUAACAAAAUUAUAAAAGAGACCUUUGCUGUUAUCAUCGGUACCCAUGGUACCAAUGGGCCCCGACACAAGUCAAGCAAAACACAAGCCGUUUUUACCUAAUAAGUCAAAAAAAGAAAGCAUGAAUAACUUUCUGAGGGAUAGUUCUUUUUUUUCAGCAGAGUGUAAGCAAACAGGUAGCAAAAGCAUAAAUAAUUUCUGGAAAAAGUGAAGAGAAAAAGAUUGCAGCAGAGAUACGAACAUGUGAUGAAAGGUAGGAUGAAAGAUAACCAGCACAAGCUCUGAGAAGAGGAUGAAAAACUGAUGACGAUACUGACAUCGUAACAAUCUGCAGCCACAAUAAUCUUCAGGAAUGGUAUAACAAAUUAUAUCAAUCAAAGCCAUUGAGGUACCUGAGAGAGAGCAUUUUGAACAUUUGAAUGAUUCCAUUGGCUAAAAGAAUCAUCAAUAUGUUCAACAGGACCAGAACUGAGUGGAGGACGAAGUGCUACAAACACACAAGAGCAACUACUCAGCAAAUGCAUGCACAUUAUCAUAAUCAUCUUUGUGGAUCAUAUAUCAGACCAAAAUAAAUCAACUGCAACAUUUUCUUUAGUCAAACUCAAAGAGCAGCCAAGACACAAGAGUCAUGACAAUUAGUUAGCCACAUAGGCCUAGGUUAUGGAAUCUAUGCAGUCCAAUUUUUUUCUUGAAUGAUGCUGGAGAGCUUCGUGUCAUUUCAUUAAGGAAGAAAAAGAUACAAAUGAGCGAGGCUAGAGCCGUCCCACCCGAGCCAAACCCACACACACCUACAUAUCAGUCCAGUUAUUUUAACUAUGAACUUAUUUUACAAGUUGGUCACAUGAAAAAUGGUAAAUUUUACAAAUUUUCUCAAAAAAUAUUUUUAUAAUGCGAUAGUUUUAUAAUAUUUUAAAAUUAUAUUGCAAAAGAAAAGGAUGAUCAAAAGUGUGCUUAGACAUCAUGUAUCUCCAUGUCCUAAAUAUAACCAUGAUUAGAGCAAGUGACAUGUGAGUGUGCAUGCAUGAAGGUACGGAUCUACCCAUAGCAAACAUUCUAAUCAUUCAAAUGGAUGUAUACUUCAAUGAAAAGUAGUAAAGAAAACAUGUAUACUGCACAGACAUUACCUGGAAGUAGGGCUUGGACAAGUGGUAAGACAGACCAAAUGUCUGAAGUAACAUCAGCAAGCUUGCGACAUAUUAUAGGCUAUAAUUACAAACCAAGAAAACAUAAGUAUCUUCAAAUAGAAUGGUACAUAUAUGGUAAAAGAUAUGAGGAUGGAACAAUAAGAUAGGUAACCUGUGAUGCAGCUGCAUAUAGUACAUGAAGAAUGCCUUCUUCCACAGCAGCAAUAUCCAAAAUAUUCACGAAUGAACCAUCAAACUGAUUUUCUGACAGGCUAAAUUCUUCUCCAAACAUACUGGAGUAGUCUGUAGAAAGUACUAGACUGAAAGCAUCGCUUUUAGGAAUUUCAUCAGAGACUUGGCUUGGUAGCAUGACACUAGUAUUCAUUGAUUUGUCUAAAAAUGGCUCAGGCUCCAAUAGUUUUUGCAAUACCUUCGAUGCCUAAGUUAAAAGAAACAAUUGGGUAGCAAAUCCUCCAUGAGGAAAGUGCAUGUAACAAAAAAUGAAAAAUAUAGUGUCAAAGAACAUACUCGAAGGCAAACAACUCCAAGGGUUUUGUCUUUAUGCGCUUUCCUUAAGAGGAGCAUAGCCGUUUCAGAUCGAAAUGCCAGCAAAUACGAAGCAGGCUGAACAGAUGAUGGACUCCGUGAUCUCCUCGGUUGUGCCUAGAAGAAAGAGUUCAGAAUACUACAUCAGGUGGACAAACUGAAAGGAGUGCCUCUAUGUUCCCCAAGAGAAUAACAGACACCUAAACAUCUAUGUUUGAUGUACUAAUUGACAAUCCCCUCAACUUCUCUAACUGGCUUAUGAGGCAGUUUUCUUUCAGGGAGCAAAGGGACAUUUUGCAUAGGACAUUUUGGCACGGUUUGGUUGGCUUGCUAAAUUUCCUCACCUCGCCUCACCCAGCAAGGUAAGCCUUGCCAGCGUGGGCAAGCCAAAUUGUCUCUCCGAAGCUAGCAAGGAAACAACAAAGCAAACAAAGAAACCAAACAUGUUGUAUGUUCCAGUUUUUUGCCUGGCGAGGUGAGGCGAGCUCAAGCAAGACAGAGAUCUAAACACAUUUUUUUUCAGGGCGCAUACUUGUAUGAUGGCCAUGUUUUUGGUAAAAUAAAAAGAAAGGAUUUGUAGUAGGUCUAGUCAGAGAGUGGAGCACGAAAGGCUGCCAUCUCUUCACUGUUCAUACUAUGAUUUUGCAGAGUAAUAAAAUCCUUAUGUGAACUGAUAGGUUGAUGGCAAUACCAUUUUGGACCCAAAAAAAGGUUUUAGGGCCAGUCAUUGAAUGCAUUAGGUUUCACACUCCAAGAAAACACCAGGAACAAAUUAUGCGCUUAACCAUUUAGUUCUCAUUUCUAAACAUUUCUGGCCAUAUUUCAAAUAGCAAACUAAGCUAGUUAUUUAGAAGUUUCAUCAGAAAGCAGAACUGGCCCAGCUGCGAAAACUAUUUACUGUUCUGAAAAAUGUGACCUUGAAUGGGAUGGUCAGAAAAAAGACAACCAUCUUCCAUGAAUGCUUGCAAGAAAUUAACAACCUGAUCAGAAGAUAGUAUUUUUGGCAUUUCAAUGCCUACCGUACAGCCCAACUAAAAUUUUUAACAUGUAACAGCUAAAGGUAACAGGAAGAUCCCCGGUAACAUCAACCUAACUUAAUCACAGUGACAGAUCUUCAGCAGCCAUUCUGUGGUAACAAAUUUGAUUUGAGCUAUUCAAGUUGCCUACCAGAAAAUAUUUUGUAUUCCAUGCUAGAACUUUUAUCAGUCACCCAUUAAUCAAGGCAAGCUCCAAUGCGGGCUGAAUUUGCAUUAUACUAUCUUUUUGAAACUAACAAAGGAGCUCAACACAUAUAAUGACAAUCAGCACUAAUGUUACCCAAAGUUCUCUCAGGAAGGGGAAAAGGACAUAAUAUAAAUGAUUGUUUUAGCCACUUCAAAUAAGCAGGAAACCAUGUAUGACUAAGACUGCAAGUGCAGAUCCAUGUGAUCAAUCUUACAGCAUACAUGGCUGCAGUGCCGUAACCUUCACCUUCCACACCUACUGUAGCAAGUCGCAAGAACGAGAGAAACAGACGCACAUAAGCCAAAAAAAAGGUUACAUGCCUCAAAGUUUGAAGAAACUGUUGGAGUAGAAGCCAGACUGGUUCUGAGGGCAUCUGAAUCAGCAGAACCAAACAAAGAUUUGGUAGGAUCUCUGUAAAUUUAGGACAUUUCAGAUACCAUCGCCCACAUACAGGCAGGCAAGUGCAAACACGUAUUCACAAUAACACAAGUGCAAUAUAUGACGGCAGGCAACAUAGCAUGUAUCAUAAAUCCAACUGAUACAUGGUUGCAAGUUAAACAAGGAAGACACACCUUUCAUUUAUAAGGUGAAGGAUAGGAUAAAAUGGACCAGCAAGUAGAGCCAAGAACCGCACGCUGCUCUCUGGGGUGUCCGCCACACUAUUAAGGUCAGCCUGAACUAAACAUACAGCAGCCUGUUAAAGGGCAGUACACAACAUGCUUCGAGAAAUGGCAAUUUAGCUAGGAGCCAGAAAGAUUGACUUCACCUCAAUCUGGGGAAGAAAUGGAGGUAGCCUGAUGGAGAUGUCUUUAAGCAACUAGAAUGAAUGGGGCAGAAAUGCAUCAGGAACUCAUGACAUGGUGAACCCCCAAAGCCAAAGGGUCAAAUAAGAAAGAAGAAACGGAGUAGUGAGAAGAGAACCUGGAGGUGCAUGUUGUGAGAAAGGGGUUGUUUGGAGGAUGUGAUUUGCGGGAGCAAGUAGCUGAGCAGUGGCUGGAGCUCAGGUUCGAGGCCAGGCACGGGGAUGCCAAAGAGCUGGAUGAAGAAGAUGGCGAUGGGGUUGCCGCGCAGGCAGGAAAUGCGGAGGUAGCGGCAAGGGGUGUGGUUGGCGGGGUAGACGAUGUCGCGCUUGGGGGCCUCGCAGCGGGGGCGCACCUUGACGAAGGCAUCGGGCUUGUAUCGCAGACCAGCAGUGAGCUCCCAUUCGAGGACGGAUUUGUUGUAGAUGCGGAUGUGGGAGAGGAGGCACGGUUCCUGCAAGCAACUGGGGAGGGAGUGACUACUCAAUUCGAAUUCGAUCCCCAACUAGAUUGGGAGAAGAGGGAGAAGAAUAAGCUGUAGAAGCAGAUGGGGACCUGGAGCUCAAGGAGGAUCCAUUCCUUGGUGUUGGUGGCGGUGGACCAGUGGGAACGCAGGUCGGCCUCAAGCAAGUUCCCCGCCUUCUGCGACGGCGACUCGCGAGAGGAUGCCUUCACCCGGAAACCUAGCGCCACCACGCCAUCCCCCCAGUCCGCUGACGUAUCCCUCUCCGGCGGAGCCGCCGCCGCUGCCUCCAUCAGCUCCGACUGGCUCCCUCCCCUGCCCGCACCGCGCUGCACUGCACUCCCUCCUCGGCUCCUCGCCUCUUGUCGAGUGAAUGAAGACUGAAGGACUAGAGCAAGACGACUCUCUGUUCGCCCAACAACUGGGGAUGGGCCAGGCUUCCCAGGUAUGGUGUUAUGGAUAUUGGGCCGAGGACCCAUUCACUUCAAAUCAAAAUAGGAAAAGGGGAAAAAUGUCCAUUUUAGCUCCCCGACUUCCUCAAACUCCAAAACUAAGGUCUUGUUUAGAUUCGAAAAAAUUUUGGAUUUCGACACCGUAGCAUUUUUAUUUUUACUUGACAAACAUUGUCUAAUCAUAGAGUAACUAGGCUUAAAAGAUUCGUUUCGUGAUUUACAGUGUGCAAUUAGUUUUUGUUUUCAUCUAUAUUUAGUGCUCCAUGCAUGUGCCGCAAGAUUCGAUGUGACGAGGAAUCUUGAAAAGAUUUUGAUUUUUGGAGUGAACUAAACAAGGCCUAAUAUCUUUCAAGUUACUUUCCUGACUUAUUUUAAAGUGGAUAGAAUGUGGUUUUGUCCUUUUUCUACAUAAAAAGGCCAGUGAAUACUUGAUAUGGUCAUUAAACCCAAAAAAAAUCACUAAACUUCUAAAACAUUAAAAAAACACAUAUUGAUAGAUUAGGAUAUUAUGUAUCCAGAUAAAGUAUUUACAUCUCAUGAGAAUAUAUCUAAAAGCUUAUAAAAUUAGAUUUAUCUCUACGAAAAUAGAAAAAAUCAAAACAUUCUAAUUGAUGUCCUAGCGUGUUUGAAAAAAAUGCAUAACAAAAAACAAAAGACACGGCUAGCACAAAUGCAUGACAUUAAUGUAUGUUGUUUUCAUGCUAGCUGUAUCUCAUAUUUUUGACAUGCAUAGUUUUUAAAGGACAUUAGGCAUUGAUUAGAAUAUUUCAAAUCUUUUCCAUUUUACUAGAGCUAAAUCUUUUUUUGGAGAUACUAGUAGAUAUGUUUUCAUGAGCUCUAAAUAUUUUAUUUUAAUUCUUCAUGUCAAAAUCUAUCCCUAGUUCUUCCUGAAAUUGAUUUAAGAAGCUUUGUUGUUUUUUAUGGGUUUAAAACUUUGUUAAGUAUUUACCAAAUGUUUUAACUAAAAAAGACAAAACCAUAUCAAACUAAGAUAAAGAGGUUAUUUGAUCAGUUUUGAGAAAUUAGGGGUGAGAUGUCUAGUUAUAGAGUUUGAGGAGAAAAAUAAGACUGAGGCAAAUUGACUAUUUAGAGGGGAAAAAAGUCAUUUCGCAUCAAAAUUUUCCUCCUUGGUCUCUAUAAUCGAUCAAAUUGUCUCCUUUAAUUACCAAAGUCAUUUAAGUUAUCUCCUUACUCUAGUUAGAAGUGGGUUUCAGGGUGGUUUUAUUUAUUUAUUUUAGUUAAAAGAUUCCAAUGUACACUUAAUAAUCCAGUUUAAGCUCCAAAUAUUUUAAUAUAGCUGAAGCUAAUUUUUGAAGCUAUCUAAAAAAAUCAUUCGUCGUGUCCUAAUAGUUUUAAUUUGAACAGUUUUAAUAGUUGAGAGAAGAGUUCUAGAGUCCUAGGGUAAAAGUAGACUACGACGAUAGAUUAGGGAGAGAAAAAAAUGACUUUUUUCCUCAAGAGUGUACAUACAUGGUGAACAUAUGCUUAGAGGUUAUUCCAGGAACAUAUGCAUACAGGAUUAUUCCUGGAACAGGAAAACAUUUCAGGAACACGGCACCAACUAACCUCAUAGUAGUAUAUACAUAUACAUAUACAUAAGUACAGAUGGGAUAUGGCUGGCACAAGCAUCACAGCAUUACAAACAAGGGAAAUAGUAUCAAUGAAGAAUGGUGUGGUCUGUCAAGUCAAGCAUGGACCAUUUAUUCAAACCUCAGCUUGGGUCUCGCCUGCCUCUAUUCCUAACUCUUCUAAUCUCUUCUUUCUUUUCCCCAACACAACCCUUUGUAAAACCUACAUAGCUCGCAUCUAAAUACGCAAUACAUGCAUGAUCGCAUAGAAAGGUCUUCAGGAAGAUGGUACGAGAAGUCGAGAAGUAUGUUUCCUACUACAUUGUGUACACUGUCAGUGAUCCAAGCAGAGCGGCUUCAUCCUGUCAGCCCAAUGCAUGCAGUAUUGCCUAUUAGGGUUAAUCCUCGAGCACCGGAACUAUUGCCGAUGACAGUUCAAUAUGUGACAUGCGAACUGCCCCAAUCAGUCUUUCUGGGAGCUCCUCGUAUGUAUUAGCCUGCCGACAAUAUUAAGGCCAACACUUCAACGGUUCAGCCAAUGUUUUAUUUUAUUUAUUUAUUUGUUUGUUUGUUUUUUUAACAAACAUGUGACUCUAAGUAAAUGAGGCUUACCUGGACAAGGAAAGCCAUGUCGACAACUAGUGUUGUUAUCACACCACACACAAGCCCCAAGACUCCAUUCGCCACUGUAGACGAGCCAAUAUCCACAUCUAUCUGCACGGUUACAUCACCAUAAUGCAACAUAAAAUAUGUGCCAACAUACUAUUUCUUAGCCAAAAGGUAGACAAACAUAAGCUUCAGAAGGUUUCUCGCAGUCUUACUUCUAAAUAAUUUGAGCCACGUAUAUAGGUAAUGUCAACAGCUUUUCCUAAUAGACAAGGAGUGCUGCCAACACUUUGGCGAACAAUCCAUGAGCCCUGAAAUUCAAAGGUGAAUUACAUCAGAUAAAAGGAAUUGAUUGAAUUCACCAGCAACUUAUAGCGAGAUUCAUCGUAUCCUUUAUUUUGCCCUUCUUCUACACUUUUCACAUGGACCUCAUAGGAUUUCAAAAGAAUGGUGGGGAUAGAGAGAACUUCACCUUAGGAACUGAUGGUAUCAACUUGAACCUACUAUUCCGAUAUUCAUCAUCACCAUCAACAAAGCGUUGCAAUAAGGAGUUUGGUAUCAGUUUCUUCGUAACAAAGUAGAAAACCAUACUAUAGUUUGUUGUGCCAGGAACCUGCAAAAGCAAUCAUACUUGCAUCAUUAUUGCUGGUUCACAAGUCACAACAACAGUGGACAAUGAUAGUAUUGUUACAAGACACAUCUAUCAAGACCAACAACUAGAAAUGAGUAGCCUUAUUAAAAAAAAAUGUCAAAAAAAACUAGAAAUGAGUAGCGUAAUGCCGUAAUUAGAGGGUCAUCCUUUCAACACUAGUGGACAGUACUGUGCACACAUGAGAUUACAAUAAAACUAUGUAUAUAAAGGAAGAUAAGGAGCAAAGAGUGAUAUGGCUUUGACAGUUUGACACAUUUUGUGUAGGAACGUCCAUGGAAAUACUUACUUGUAGAUUUAUAGCCAAUGCAAACAGUCCCUUCUCAGCCGCUACCUAGAACCGAAGCAAAAUAUUAUCAAAUGGGAAAAGAGUAACAACUUAGCAGGAACUGAGCUUCACCACAUCAAACACAUUCAUGGUUAAACACAAAAGGUUAAAAAAAAAUGCUAAGCAAGGAUUCUUAAAUAUAUACAUAGAAAAGCUAAAUGUAAUAAGAAAGAACAAAACAUGGCUCUUGGUGCAACACAUGAUGCUACACUAACUCCAUAUACAAGUACAACCCUGGCUCUCAGCAAAAUAUGAUUACUAUAUCCAAGCAUCGUUUAUGAGCCUAUCAACAAGGACUUCCACAAGCAGUGGUAAGAACAGUUAAGGCUCAAAAACAGAGGGUUUGCUUCUCAGUGUUACAAAAAUUAGAAGAGGGUGCUAUUCAUUUCCCUUCUUCCAUGCAUUACAGACUAGUUAAUGAUAUCAGGAUUCAAACAUGAACUCACUUGAACUGCACAGCCUUUUCUUCUAGCAACAUGGUCCAUUCGCUUUGCGUCUUUAAACCAGUCAACAGCAACAAGCUCCAUAAGAGGCUUUCCUGCAGGAACCUAUCAAAAAGAAUAAAUACCAUAAACAAUAGGGCCUAGAAAACAGACAAAAUGAUUCUACAUAAUGAUGAGGAAGAUCAAAACCUUGCUUUUAUCAUAUACAAAAUUCUUGCUUCGAACUCUGAAAUUGUUCCCAUCAGAUAUUCUCCAGCAGUCACGGCUGUUAUCACGGUCAUCCCGACGUAGAUUCCCAGAAAACCCAGAUAAAUCAAUCUGAUCUGAAUCAUCUUCAUUCCGCCCUAGAUAGAAUUCAUAAAGUGAACUAGACUCUUUGUACAGAUAAUCAAGGAAAAUAGAAUAUAUAUACCUGACUGCCUAAUAUCUGCAGCAUCCUCACGUGUUGAUGGCUGCAUAGAAAACAUAGUCUCGUUUAAAAAAUGACAGAAAAGAUCCACUGGAAAAACUAAAAACAACUCAUCAACCUCUGGUUCAGAUUCAGGUAUCAGAAAUUCGUCAUCUUCAUCAGACUCCUCCUCAAGAGCUGUGGAAUGUCUGCUUGGAUCCAUCUGAAUGCUGGUUUGUGUAGUACUCUCUUGUGCUUUUCUGCCUUUCUUGGAAGAAACAGAUUGAGUCAUGUUGACCAUAACAGGAAUCCUAGGAAGCACUUGACUCUCAUCACUUUGUGAAAACCAUUCCCUGAGCCCUGUCAGGGGAGAAAAAUGCACAGUGAGUAAUAGAGAACAUAUAUCAUAUUCAGUUUCCUAGUGUUGGAGGAAAAAAAUAUUCAGUUUCCCAAAUUGAGGGGCGAGGGGGACAUGCUGAAGCCUAUGUCUAAGAAAAUUGAAAUGGAGUACUCGUAGGAUGCAUGCCGAGUACAUGAUGGCAAUGAAUCUAAGGAUACACCAUUUUUUGCAGGAUUGUGCAUCACCUUAGCUGAUAUUACAUAAUACUCCCUCUAUUCCAAAUUAUAGGUCGUUUCAGCUUUUCUAGUCUAGAUACAUAGUUUUUUUACUUUUUACUAUGAACCUAGACAUAGUGUAUAGUAUCUAGGUGCAUAGCAAAAGCUAUAUACUUAGAGAAGCCAAAACAUCAAAAUGGCCUAAAAUUUGGGAGAGGGAGUAUAUGUAAUAUGCUUGAACAGUCAUGCACAAGAAAACAGCAACUGUCUCCUAAACGUGUCAUGCAUAAGGACUAUUCCUAACUGCUCUGGGACCCCCUUGAUUUAUGCUGAAGGUCAACCACUGCUAAGAUGGUAACUGACAAUAGGCUCGUAGUUGUAAUGUCCUGCUGAAAGUGAGUCUCCAUGCUGCAUGAAGGACUGGGCAAGGAAAAACAAGAAAACAUUUCUCCAAACAUCAUCUUCAACAGAAAGCAUAUAAUAGUAGACUACUUUAUUAUUUUCGUAAGGUGUCAGUAUUUAUCACAAUGGCAACCAUUUUAAACACACAGGAAAGGAACCUGUAAACUCAUCUAACAUGCAAUGAUCAGCUCUGGGCCACCUAAAAUGACCAAACAUAAAAGUGUAACGACACUGAUCAAGCCAGCAGCCUCACACAAAAAGGUCUCGUCUCAGUUGAGAAGUUACUCCAAAUCCUAACCGAGAAUAAGAUAAACCAAAUGUUUUCUCUGAGUACUAUGUACAACACGGAAAAAUAAUAAAGAUACCAUCCAAAACUUAUUCAGAAGGUUAGUUGUACCAGCAACACUGUUCAACAUAUGAAGGAGGCAAUGCUGCUGAAAUGAAGGUACAUAACCAACCCCCCAACCCUUCAAAUCUAUCUGCAUAAGAUGCUGCACUUGUGUUCGGAUUCUUCCGUUACGGGAUUUCAGGGGAGAAAUGUUGAAGCCACCACCUACAAUAAAUAAAUGCAAGUCAAAGAGAAGAAAAGUUACGAAAAGGAAGCCCUGGCUGCCAUACAUUUUCCUCGGUCAGCCCUGGUUGCUAACAUGCUAUAAAUGAACAAAAGUUGCAAAUGAUUGUGCAGUAACAAAUUCAUCAGAGCAAUUUACUUACUCUCAAUAUGUGCCCUUACAAAUCCUGGUUGUGGACCACAGUUUUGGUGCUCUCUGGAUCGAAACAACACAACUGCAAAUAAAAUUACUGAAUAUAAUCAAAUACAAGUCAUAAAAAUAAUGACUACGGCACCUGUCUGGAUGUAAAAAAAUUGGAGCACUGGAUAAAUACUACAGUUUUGCCCCCAAAAAAACAAAAAAAAUAACAACAACGGGUUUGUAUGUUUCAUGAUACCACAGUUUUCUAAAACUACUUAUCCAAUUGGGGAAAGGCUGGAGCAAGAGGUAUACAGCCAGUAGACAACUGAGGUAUAGUAAUGGUCAGGGUCAGAUUUAUCUACUGUAAUAGGUGCAUAUGUCUACCUAGUUUCUUGGUAGUAUGUGUGUGUGUUUUGUAAGGGUUAUUGUCCCUUUUUCUUCUUAAUAUAAUGACAUGCAGACGCAGACUGCGUGUUUCAGAGAGAAAAAAAGACUCGUCCAACAUGUUCAUAUAUACAUGUAUAUCGCAUGGAACAUGGCUAUGAGUAAGCCUUAGGGGUUGUUUGCAUCUCAAGUUUUACAAAAAAUAAAUUAAUUAAAACUUGUUUUAGUUUGGCAUCUGUAAAACAUUGUUUAUUUCACUCAACUAACUUGGAGAUAAGAAAAACUGGUUUCCAGUAAAUUCAAAAUUCCAUAUUUUAGCAAAUCUGACUCCAAGGCGUUUUUAUCAAAACCAGUGUAUGAUGCAAUUGUUUCACUGGCCAGGAAUCUCGCACUUCCAUUGAUUCACCUACCUAGCACUCCUUUGACAAUUACAAUCAGUUUGCAAGAUGAUUGAUUUCGCGCCAUUUUUUGGGAACCUACAAUGAAACAAGUUCCACUACUACCGAUCCAAACACACUAAUGAAUAAACAAAUAUAACAGAAUGCCUACUUAAAAUUCAUUUUUCCAAAAACUCCUCAUAAUAUCUGUUUCAUGAAAAGAAAUUUCUAAUCUUGAGAUCCAAACAACCACAAAAUACAGAGUACCAACCAUAGCUUCCAUCAUCAUUGCGCCGCCAAUAGCGCACAUAACAAAGAUCACGAGGCCAAACAAACCUGACAAAGUAUUCAUCAAAUCCAUGACAGGCUCCAUAAAAUUAAUUAAAUAACCUUGAAUUCAAGAAGAUUGUGAUAAACAUUAAUCAUGAAAUACAAGAGUCAAUAUUUAAUCCAUGUUCCUAGGAAAUAUAGUACAUCUUAGCACCAACCAAUUAAAAAGCCAACAUACACAUACAUUAAUGUAAUAUGUGGCAUCAUGUCAUUUUUUGACCAAGAAAACAAUGUGUCAUGAUUUUGCAAUGACUCUGCACUUCUAGUGGAGUACAGAUACAGAAGGUCAUGAGAGGAAUAUUUUCCAGCAAAAGGUAAAGCAUACAUUGGGAACCAAUCCAGUUGUAGCCUAUGGUAUAGUAUUGCAGUGUGGCCAUCAACCUCCUCUACCAGACUACCAUACUGAAAGCUGCAGUCCCACCUUACAAAACGAAAAAGUAAAAUGAUAUGGAUAAGUUUAAGGAAAAGAAUAAUGAACAGUUAUGGAGCAAAUUUAUUAAGGCCUUGUUUGGAUGCGCAUGUAUUCACCUCAAUCCACAUGUGUUGAAGUGGAUUGGAGUGGAAUUAAACUAAGUUCUAUUUCAAUCCACCCCAACAUAUGUGGAUUGAAGUGGAUACACAUGCAUCCAAACAAGGCCUAAACUUAGAAAGAAAGAAUUACUCAAAACGAGUAGUAUCCAUGCUCAUAACAAGCUGAAAUAUAGCCUCACAGGAGGCUUCAACCACACCAACAGCCUUCAUUGCUCUGCUACAGCUUCUUGCCUAUGAAUAGCACACAAGCAUCAAGCAACAUGAGAAUAUGGCUUAGAUUUAGACUACCUGUACAUAGCUAUACCCAUCAACAACUUACAAGGUAAUCAACAUCUUGGAGCUCCUCAAAAAUGCGGAGGCCUGAAGAAAUCAACACCACAUCAGAGGAGCAACCCAGUUACACAGCAGAGAAACAGAGUUACGAGCAAAAUAUAAGUUCUUGCCAUUCUGGCAUCUGACAAGGCGCCAGUGUCCUCUAGAGAAAACUUGGUCAGGGCUUCCCUGAUUUGAUAUUCCCAAAUCAUUUUCACGGGUCCAGUCAUAUAAAGAUUCUGGAGGGCCUGCAAAAGGCAACAGUAGAACAACUAUUUGUUAAGCGCUGAAAGAAAAUAAUUAUUUGUUUAGCUAGCUAGCUCGUGCAUCCGUGUGGAAGGGAACAGCCAAGCCAAGUUAGGUGGCAUGUUACAGACCAUUCCCGAUUGUUGUUCUCCUUAGCAAUGAUCGCUGAUUUUCCUCUUCUUCUUCCUCUUCAUGACUGUACCUGCCAUGAGAGAAUAUGGGCACAUAUCAUUUUGGUAGAAGUUCAUAAUUAUGCAUAUUAUCAUGCAACAGACAGAAACAAAAUUACAUCCAGGCGCUAGUAGAGUUUGAGAUUUGUCGAGUAUACACAAACUUGAGUUAAAAUGCAUUCAACAAGACAUUCUUCCUUCUUUCAUUGUAAACUACCGCAAAACCAAGUGCUGAGUUCAGGCACACACCUACCCAGUGUUUACUUAUUUAAGAUCAUGAAAGGUUUAAAUGUUUAGAUCACAAAGUAGCAUCUCAGAAGAAUACCAUCUGAAGAAAAAUAAUCAUCCUGUCAAUGUGACGUUUUCAGAAAUACUAGCUGUUGAGAGCCCAAAUAAGAAAGAUGGGAGAUGUAACCAAAACAUUACCAAACUGGUACAAGUAAAGCAUUAGCAGAGAAGGGUAUCAAAAAAUGCUUUAGCCACAACAUAGAAACAAAUGCAACUUGAAACAUAACCAUGGAAGUCAGCUACUUACUGACUUUCGUGGUCAGAUGAAGACGAUUUCCUUCCAUUUUCUAAGCUAGCCUUUUGCUGCGAUGUGCUAAAGGCCUUGUUGCCAUCACUCGGCGCUACCCCCUGUCGCUGCACCAUUCAAAAAGAAACAAGUGUAAACCACAGGAAAAUUUGCUAUUGCAUAGAUUCAUAAUUAGGGUGUGAAUUGCUGCCCCUAAGGUUCUUUAGUUCUAAUACUAUGAAUACUAGUUUUCCAAAAUGUGACCAAAUUUUGGAGAAGUAGUAACUAAAGAGGGGUCGGUCAAGACCAUUAGGUGGCAUCCAUUCGCAUCCAUAUUCAUAAUCACUUUCAUGUUCUACUAGUACUUUGCAAUAUGAGUAAUAGAUUAGCACAGUUUAGGGUUUCCACGUGUUGAACCUGAUCGAUGACCAUCUCAAUUUUCUCCUUCCAAAUUAGAGCUUCCUGUAUGUUGAAUGCUGCCAUCUGAUGCAUGCCACAGAAAGGGAUUAAGCUAAAUGAGUGGUAUUUAACUGAAGGCAGCAUGUAGGAUGCAAAUCAAAGACUUCUAGCAUAAUAUUACAGUUUGAAAUCCAGUAAUCUACUGUUGAAUGCACUAAACAAAGUGAAGUUGCUCCGAAUGAAUAAAUCAUGGAUUUACCGUGAUGCGGUUGUGCUUCUCCCUUUUGUUGUAGACGCAUAAGACAUAAAGCAUCUGCAGCAGGAGAAGUAAUGCCCGAAUGGAAUCAGCGUCGCAGUCGUCGCAGAAUUAUGAUAACAAAAAGGAAGAAGAACACCAGAACGAAGAAGAGAGAGAGGGAAAACAGUUGUACAUGUCCAUGGUGCAUCUUGAGCCCCCUGUCCUCGACCCUGCAGUUGCCAUCGAUGGGGAGGGACUUGAUGGGGAGCUUUCCCCCGACCUUGUCGGCCUUGUGCUGCGGCUUGCGCUUGUAGUAGGACAGCAUCCGUGGCUCGAGCACGAAGUAGCGGGUGUGGACGAAGGAGCGGCCGAUCUUGCGCCGACCGUAACGGACCAUCCACCCCUCGUACACCACCGAGGAGGACGAGGACGACGACAUCAUCCCCCUCCCUCAGAUCCCUCUCUCCUCAGUAGCAAAAACACAGCAUCAGGUGAAGAUCGACUCGAUCCAGCAAACGUAGCUACAGCAGCUGCUGCUGAGCUCCUCCCCUCUCCUGGAUUCUCCGCUCCGCUUUCUUCUCGGGAAUAGUCACCGGCGGAGCCAAGGCCCGGCCACCCUGGGCAGCUGGCCGGGCUCCCACGGUACAGCAGAGGCGGGAGGGGAGAGGGAGGUGCGUACGCAGGGUCGCCGGCCGGUCGGUAGAGGGAGGUGCGUACGCAGGGUCGCCGGCCGGUGCGCGGAGGACGGAGGCGAGGGCGCGAGGCGACUGGCGAGAGGCGGGAGGGGGAGCCGCCGACGCCGCCGCCGAGCCUGGGACUGCCCCUCCGUCGCUGGACGCCGCCGAGGGGGAGUUGCUCCGAUCCCUGGACCGA